rnacentral:lncRNA from 1 species
CUAGGCCAUGUAAAUUUUUAAAAAAAUUUUAAAUCAGGUCCAAAAAGAGUUUUAAGCCCAAUCAAAUUUGCCAGCAGCUUCACAUGGCAAUAAUUUUACAUAGAGAUACAUGGUUGAUACACCUAUUAAAAUUCUUGUUGCAUUUUUUCUUUCUUUCUUUUUUCCGUUUUCAAUAUGCUUCAAUUUCAUGAUGCAAGGGGCCUUACAUCUGGUGGUUCAUUUUGCUUAAAGCCAGAAUACUAUUUCCAUCACCAUUAAUAAAUACAAGGUAAUUAAGAUUUUGCUUGAGUUCUGUUUGAUUUUAAACCAAAUUUGCAUCUUAUUAUGCUAAUGAAGCCUCUUAUUUGAUUUUACUGUGUACCUUAAUCACUCAGGCAUGCUCCCUAAUUUAUUAUUCCCUUUGCUUGGAAAUAUGUACUACAGAAGCAGAGGUAUCACUCUCUCAACUUUNNNNNNNNNUUUUUCUGCUUAUGCAUACAAGGCAACAAGCUAAAAGAGCUUAGGGUGUGUUUGGGAGUUGUUUUCAAAAAUGGUUUUCUAUUUUUAAGAAAAAAAAAAGUCAUAACAUGUUUGAUAAUCAGAAAACAAAAAACAAAGUGUUUUCCAAGAAUAUAUUUUAAUUGUUUUUGGUGGUUUUAACUUUUUUCUAAAUAUUGUUUUAAAAAUAAUUAUACAAAUAUGGAGAAUGAUUGAAAAUUAAGUAUUUACAAAUUAAAGUUAUUUAAAAAAAUAUUUAAAAAUAUAGAAAAUAGGUUAAACACAUUUCAGAUUUUCAAACAAGAUUUGUCAAAUUUAUAGGAAGUGAAUUGGCAUUUUCCUCAAAACUUUGAUUUUGCUUUUUAAUAUUUUAUUCUAUUUUAUGACAACAGUAUUUUCUUGUACCUCUCCCUUAAAUUUGAAACUAGUUUUUCUGAUUUUUUGAUUGGUGAGUAUAACCUAAUUUAAUUUCCCCAUCAUAGUAGGACUAAAAAGUGGAGAUUCUUAUGGAAUGAAAGAAAUGCAAUCAACUCUCACACUAUGAUGAACUGUGAGCAUAUUUGAAUAUUUUGAUGGUAUUUAUUCUAUUUCACCAAAUACUAAUGGAAAGUUAUUCAUUACUUGAAUCAUUCUAACAAGCAAUUGAGCUGGUACAUCACAAACUGAAUUGAUAGGACAAUGAUAGUGACAAUAUUCUUAGCAAGUUUGGGUCAUGUAUUACGUAUAAGGUUUCUUCAGUUUUUACAAGAUGUUUUAUGGUGAAUUACACCCUUAUGACACACGCAAACCCAAAAAAAAAAAGGAUUUUAAGUCAUUUCUUUUUUUCCCUUUUGUUAAUUUGGUAUGGGCAGGUGGUCUUAACAAAGGAGCUCAAUGAGUUAGAACUACAGCCUCACUGUCCCAAAGUGAAACGGUCAAAGCUUGUAAUAAGCUCCAGCUAAGGUAGGUAACUGUUACUAUAUUCUGCUUGUUUUCUUGUCAUAUUCAAUUGGGUGAAUAACAAGUCUAAUAUGAAAAAAUUUAAAAAAAAAUACUAUAUGCUCUUUUAGAAUUCUAGAAGUGUGUCCUUUAAGUGAAAUUUAUUUUUGUCUUAUCUGCUUUUUAGAGUCUAUGAAAAAAAUUAUUCAAUUCUAUGCAAAAAUUUAUUUUAUAUCUAUUUUUAUCUUCUAAGUUUGCUUUUGAGAUGUUUUCUUUCCAUAUAUGGAAUGGUUAUAAUUUUAAUAUUUUGUGCUAUGGAUCAAGCUUAAUCUUUAAAAAUGACAAUCAUUUUGAAUAUUAUCUGCUCUAUAGGAAGCUCCUACAACCAGGUCAUAUUCCUAAUUGACUCUGUUUUUGAGAAAUCAGGAUACUUUGGGUGGAUUUUCCUUCACAUGAAUAAUUGUAAGUUUGAUAAUUUGUGAGCAUUCGUACUGUAGAUACUUGUGACAAAGUUUGUCUUAAGAAUAGGAUGAAUUCUCAUUAUUACUCACUAGAUGUUUUUUUGCAAUUAACAUAAGGAUUCAUCUUCUAAAGUACUCUUGGGAGUGAGGAAUCCUUCUCAAAAGCCUUGGAAUCGAGCACAAAUUUGAAAUUUCAAUCUGCAAUGAGGUAAAGAGCAAAGGAUUCAUGUUAUUUAGUGGCUUACUUUAGAUGGUAUAUUCAUUGUGACAAGAAGAAGUUUUAAUGCAGUCUUUGAUCUUGUUUAGAUAUACUUUUAAAGAAAAAAAAACAAAAAUAACAAUUAUUUCUAAAAAGUAGAAACUCUUGUACAAAAAGUAUAGACUUACCUUUUAUUUUUUUUUUAAAUUACAUAAAAAAAUUUUAAAAUUUGAGGUAAGAAAACAUUUUUAAUACUUCAAAAUUUUAAACAAUUUUUAAAACUAUUAUCAUGUGAAUGUAAGUCUUUAAUUCUUUUUGUAUUUUUAUAUAAACAAGCUAUUUUCUCCUUUUAAAAAUAUAAAACAGUAAAUGCAUCUAAGCAAAUACUUAAUUACACGUUUGUCUCUUGGUAAUUCAACUCCUCUAUGCUCUCUCUUAUUAUUUUAUUGCCUCUGUUUUGAAUUUUAGGAUAUGGGCCUGGUUUCAUCCAAAAGCUUCCUAUAGUUGACUAAUUCAUGAAUUUGAAAAUUUUGGCGGAUAGAAGAACAAGCACAUAUCUUCUGCAAGCAUUUGAAAACUUGUGCAUCAGUGCAUCAAUGGUUGUACUAGUGCUCAUGGAGAUUCAAAUAUGUGAAAUGGUAAUUGUGAGAUUGAAAUCCUGACCAUGAGACUAGCAGACGAGUCUUGGUGAACUUGAGAGUUUUGCCAUUCUCUUUCCUUGUGGAUCAUUCUCAAUACAAGUUGUUCUCCCAUUAUGUUUUAACAGUAUGUAAUACUCUAAAUGGUAAAUUAUGCCUCAGUUGAUCAUCUUUGAAUUACAAUUAGAUGUUAUUAAUGUUUACUUCAACAACUACAUAAUCUAUAGUUUAUUUUUAGUUUCCUUAUUUACUAAAAACUACCUAAUAAGAUUAAGUAGCUAAGUCACAUUUCUCUGCUAUGUACAUAUUUUCUCUAUUUAAGUUCACUUGCUAUUAACAACAUCAACUAAUAUAAAAAGAUUCAGUUUUGGGUUACAAACUUCAUUGCUAUUAUAAAAACUAUUUUGUAACAAGUUCAAGUAGUGACCCAUCAAUCUUUUGCAAUUUUUGAAGAAGAAAUGUUAGUAGUACUUGUCGUUUGAGAAAAUUUCCCUAUGGUACAUCUAUUUUAAAAUCUAUCUGGAUUUAAAAGGAAAAAAGAAAGAAAGAAAGAAAGAGAGAAAGAGAGAAAGUUAACCCUCAACGACCUAAUACCACAUAGGUCCAUGUGGUGAUCUAAAUUAUUUUCUAAGUAUCCAACUAAGAAGAAAUGAGGGUGGAUUAUUCUUGGAUAUAAUGCAAAAUAAUGAUGAUUAAUAUUAAAAAUAUUGAUAAUAUUAUCUCUCUUAUUAUUAAAAAAUCUUUUACUUUUUGAUGAUUUGAAAUACUUUUUAUCAAAUGUAAGUCAUAUUUGUGAUAAAGUAUUUUAAGUUAUUUUUAAACUAACAUGUUGCAUCAUAUAAGGAUGCUCAAAAUGAUCAAACCAGUUUGGUAGGCCAUAAAAGUGAAAAAGUUUACAACAUUGGUAUGUAAAUAUAUGAAGACUACGAAAAAUGUUUUUCAAAGUGAGUUACAACAUAUGAGGUGUGGACAUGCUUGUUGAGACAAAACUCUCAAAAGCAUGACAUAAUGUAACAAAAUAAAAUUUUAUUAAUACAUAUAUAUAUAUAUAUAUAUAUAUAUAUAUAUAUAUAUUAUAAUUUUUUUCUCCAAUAUUCUAUCCAUGUUUGCAUUGAUCUUUAUUUAAGCAUUCAAGUUUCCAUCACUUUUAUCAUACAUGGCUUGGGUGCAAUAAAAGUUGCAUGAAAUAUCUAAGUUAUGUAUUUCUUGCAAGUUGAUGAAUUGUUCAUAACCAAUUCGUGGACUUAGGCAAUCCAUUUGAGGUAAUAUAUACUAACUCUUAAUUGGAGGAAUAAGGACUUGUUUGUCGGGGAUAAAACCCAAACAAAUCAUGACAUCAUGUAACAAAUCAUAUUUUAGUUUUCACUAUUAUAUUCUCAUUUGUAUUAAUACUUGUUUGAGCAUUCGAGUUUACAUUAUACAUGACUUAAGAACAUUAGAAGUUUCAUGAAAGAUCCAAAUCAUAAAGUCCUUAUAAGUUGAUGAAUUGUUCAUAGUUUAUAACUUACACAAUCCUUCUAAGGUUGUAGUGAACUAUCUCAUAAUUGGAGGAAUGACUUAUCUUAGUUAUCGGGUUAGAAUAUACAAUAUCAUCUUAUGGGAUCAGUGUGACUUGCAUUGCCAGGGGACAUCUUCUUUUCUGGCUGGACGUGAUAGCCACAUUUAUGAGAUGUAAAGUUUGCCUCACUUUGGACUUGGGAAGUGUCAUUCCAAGGUGGACAAACUCAGCCACGCUCAAAUUAAUGGAUGAUGCAUUACCUAUGGAAGGAAAUGGCAUUUGCAAGGAUUUAGGCUACCUGGGCAACCCAGCAGAGUGACAUCAAAAUCAGUAAAGCCUAAGUCUUCAACUGUGCAAGCAAAUGGCAACUUCUGAUCUUGUAUUAGUACACCAGUGCCAUGUCAGUCAUCCGCACCAACAGAAUAGUCACCUAAGCCUCCCCGGGGCCCAUUUUUCCAACUCCUGCAUUACAUGGCCACCUUUUCCUCUUGCUACUUUUCUUUUAUUUUUCUUUGUGAUCUUAUAUGUUUUGAAUUGGUUUCAAACUUUCUUUUUUUCUAUUAAAAUAAUCUCAGUUUUUUAAAUUUCAUCCUUUGGAGAUACUAGAAAAUAAAAUUCAGUUUUGAUAAACUAGUUGCCAUUUUUUUUUUUCCGUUUUUCAUGUUUUUAAUAAGCAUGAAUACCAUUUUACAAUUUAAAAAUAAUGAAAUAUAUGGAAUUAAUUCAUGCAAAAAUAAAUUGAUCAUUGGUGGGGCCCAACACAUGAGACAUUCUCCAUUCGUUUGUUGAUUCUGAUUGCUAUAUUUAUUCAAUAUUAAUUUAUUUUUGCCUUGCUCUAUGACUUACGUGAGAUAUUUUGUGCUUGUCAUUAUUGAGUUAACCAUGUUUUUCAUGCAAACACUAUUGAUUUGCUGCUCAAGUAUGCUCCCAUCUUCAUCUUAAUUAUUUAUUCAUUAAUGUGCAAGAUUUGCUUUCAUUCUAUAUGGUCUUUGGUAUCCACAAUUAAUUGAUCAUUUGUCACACUUGUCUUAACUGAUUAGUAGAAACCUAAUUUUUAGGGUUUAGAUGGGUGUUACGGUCUAUCGUUGUACCUUCUUGAUAGGUAACCUGAUCACUAGACCUCGACUCAAUUUUUCUCAGACUUGUAUUUUCCUUCAUGAGUCACACUUAUAGUUUUUCUCUAUUAUUUUGUUUUUCCCUUUAAAAAUGAUAAAUAAAUGGUGUCUCCAAAAAUAAUUUUCAAAAAAUCAAAAUUUUCACAAUAAAAAACAAGUCUCACCAUAGAGUGGGGACGCAUGCAAAAGAUGCGAGGUCCAUACCAACCUAUCUAAUCAAGGUCAACCUCUCUAAUCAAAGGCCGACUCCUAUAUUAGCUACUACCAACAUUAAAAUAGGACAACGUAGAAGAGGAUAAGUCGACCUCUCCAUCCAUGGGUUGGCCCCUCUUUUUGCUACCUUGGGCAUCAUUUUAAUGCAUGUUCUACAAUUUUACCUUGCCACUGUCCAUCAUAAAUAUGAUUUGAAAACCAUAAAAUGUGAAGAUCUAAAAUUGGAAUUGUGUCAAAUGCUCUUCAUCCACGAAAAUAACUUAACAAAAUUUUCUAUAGCUAAAAUUGGAUGUUGCCAAUUAAUGAAUAAGUGAAAUUACAAAAUAGAAAACAUGAGUAAAAGAGAUUUCUAAUAUUAUGAAGUGGAACAAAAACAUAAGCAAAUGUUCCUCAUUGACCAAACACAUUAAGAAGCUCAAUGAUUCUAUUUUUUAAAGAAAUAUGCAUGGCAAAGAGACUGUAAAACAAAAGUUUGACUAAUUUCGGUUUUGUUAAUAACAAAACAAGGUUUGAAACUAAUAAUUUAUUUUAAGUGUUUUUUAGCAAGAGUAAUUCCAAAGAACCAAUCACAACAACAUAAUAAAGUGAAAUCAAGAAAAAAGAGAAGACCUUAAAGAGGAAAUCAAGCAAGACUCAUGUCUAGGAUCUUUUUAUAAAAUUGUUGAUGCACUAGGUUCAAAGUGCAUUUUAUUUUUAUUCAAGUACCUAAAAUCAUCCAAUUUUCUAAAUCGACUUUAUUCUUUUAUAAAGUAAUGAAGAAUCUUUCUAAAUGAAAACCAACUACUAUUCAUGUUUAAAAGGUCUUUAAAAUGAAAAGGAGUUUAUCUACCUAGGUUUUCCUAAGAAUUUUGUGAAAAUUAUAGAAUUCAUUUAUGCAUAUUUCAAUGAAUUUUACACGUCAAAAUUAAAAUUGAUUAUUUCAAGGAUAAAAACUCAUAUUUUGACAUAUAUUUCAUCAUUUAAAUGGGUACUUUUUUCAAUAUUAUGUUUUCAUAUUAAAAUAAUUUGAGUCAUUAAAAGUCAUUUAUGUAUCAAUUUUCCAUAUUUUGCAUAUGUUUGAUUGAAGUGACUCAAUUGGUUGAAUUGGUUAUUGUUCACUCAAUUGAUUGAGGAUUGGUAGAAUUGGUUGAGCUCCUAUGAUGUAAUAGUCAUUUUUUUGUAUCUUCUAUCACCCAAAACUAGUGACCAAUUGCUUUGUGUACCAUUUAUUAUAGAUUUUUUAUUCCAUUGUACCAAUUUAUAAACUAGAAGUUAUAUUCUUGCCAAAUCUUUUCUCAUAUACCUUGUGAGGUAGGCUCAUGUGUGGGGUAAUACUUGAGGAAUUCCAAAUGUGGUGUGAUCUUAAAGGUGUUUUGUAAAUGGUGCUUGAAAUCAUUUUCUAAAAGAGUACUUGGAGUCACAAGUUUAAAAGGAUUGAUUAGAAUUAUAAUCCAAUUGUGAAACUUGAAGACUCGGAUUGAAGCUUUGAUUUAUAGAACCCUCACUCAAUUAAAAGUUUAAGGAGAUGGAUGUAGGCGGACUUGUGCCGAACCAUUCAUAAAAACUAGUACUUGCAUUUGUGUUUUCUCCACGUACUUGCAAUAUCACUUACUUUCUAAAUUUAAAUUUGUAAAAAGUGACUAUUACUAUUCACCUCUUUUGUAAAGUGAUUAAUUACCUUACAUUGGUAUACCUCAAAUUGUAAUAAAAACCACAAAACAUAAGAACAACAAAAUCAAACACUUAUCCUAUAGGAUAGUGUGAAUACUUAUAUAAAACCAAAUCAGAUUUUUUAUUCAAGCCUUCUUGAAAGGGAACAAUGAUAAUCAUAUAGCAAAAAAGCUUGAAGAAAGAAUUAAGGUCAUAUGCAAAGAGCUCGUCUUUUUUCCUUUGUUAGGGCAUUGUUUUUGGGAAAAGUUAUGAAGGAGACAUGAGGAAAUGUGCGGAAAUUCAUUUUUCAUUUUUUAUUUUUUUUUAAAGUCCAAGUGUUUUGAUUACGUGGCAUUUGACGGCAAUCCCACAUCGAAUUGCUUAUGUGGCUGGAGGAGUAUGGGCAAAUAUGGAAUUCUUAUUUUAACAUCCUUGAAGUGCUUAUUUGAGAGACCAUUUCUACAUGAUGUAGCUGGUAUUUGCCCUUAGGAUUUUCUAAACAUAGAGCAGUGUGUAUCAUACUCUCUCUUCAGUAAUUGAAUGGCAGUACACACCACAUCAACCACCACAGCAAUCCACACCUCUUGGUCAAUUCUUCACAUUAUUUUUUAAACCCUCACAUACAAUUGGCUAUAAUAUAACAUGGAGUUGCAUGCAUAAUUGAUCUUUUUAUAUCAAACAGCAUAUGUUUCCAUGUUUAAAUAAUUUUAUUUUACGAGGUUGUUUCCCAACUUCUCCAUUAAAAUUUGUAUUAGUUUAUAUAUUUUCCAAACACGGAUCAGUGCAGCCCAUGUGCCCCUCUCUCUGCCACGCUUUCCUUUUCCAAACCUUGUUGACCCAGCAACCACCAUUGCAAUCUACACCAGUUGCUCACGUCUGCGCUGAUAAAAUUUUCAAUCUCGCUUGUUUCUUUUGUCUCCACUGCCUGCCCUUCGAUUUCUGGAAAGAACUAGCCGAUGGAGGUUGUUGGAGAGUCUGUUCUUUCUGCUGCCCUCCAAGUUCUGUUCGGUAAGUUGGUUUUCCCUGAGUUGCUCAACUUUGCUCUGCAAGAGGGGGUCAUUGCUGAACUUGAAAACUGGAAGGAGAAACUGAUGAUGAUUAAUGAAGUGCUGGACGAAGCUGAGGAGAAGCAGCAUCAAAGCCGUCCGUGAAAAACUGGCUUGACAAUCUCCGAGACUUGGCUUACGACAUGGAAGAUGUGCUGGAUGAGUUCGCGACCGAGCUGUUGCGACGCAGGUUGAUGUCAGAAGGUGCUGAUCAGGUGGCCACCACAAGUAAGGUACGGAGCCUCAUCCCGACUUGCUUUACUGGUUUCAAUCCUGUUGAUGAAGUUAAGUUUAAUAUUGAGAUGGGGACCAAGAUCAGGAAAUCACUAGGCGGUUAGGCGAUAGUUCAACCCGGAAAGCUGAGCUGGGUUUUGAUAUGGUCCCGGGUGUUGAAACAAGUUGGGAAGUUUUGCAUCUGGAGCAGCUUCUACUUGGCAACGACCCCCUUCUACAUCUUUGAUUAACGAAGCUGUUCACGGCAGGGAUAAAGAUAAAGAAGUCAUUAUUGAGAUGCUGUUGAAGGAUGAAGCAGGUGAAAGCAACUUUGGGUAAUUCCCAUUGUAGGUAUAGGUGGGAUGGGGAAAACUACACUGGCCCAGUUGAUAUACAGGGAUGAAGAAAUAGUGAAGCAUUUUGAGCCAAGGGUGUGGGUGUGUGUAUCAGAUGAGAGAGAUGUAGAGAAGUUAACGAAGAUAAUUCUCAAUGCCGUCUCUCCGAAUGAAGUCCGUGAUGGGGAUAACUUUAAUCAAGUGCAGCUCAAGUUAAGCAAUAACCUGGCUGGAAAAAGGUUUUUGCUAGUUUUGGACGAUGUGUGGAACAUCAACAAUUAUGAGCGAUGCCAAUGAACAUCCAAAUUUGGAAUUAAUUCAACAAAGGAUCGUAGAGAAAUGUAGUGGCCUGCCCUAAGCAGCAAAGAUGCUUGGUGGGCUUCUACGCUCCGAACCACAGGAUCGAUGGGAACGUGUACUGAGUAGAAAAAUUUGGAAUAAGAGUGGUGUUUUGCCAGUGCUAAGAUUAAGCUAUCAACAUCUCCCUUCACAUCUAAAAAGAUGUUUUGCUUAUUGUGAGUUGUUUUCAAAGGACUAUGGAUUUAAGCAAAAAGAGCUAAUUUUAUUGUGGAUGGCAGGGGAUUUAAUUCACCAAGCAGAAGAAGAUAACUGUCAAAUGGAAGAAGAUCUAGGUGUUGAUUAUUUUAAUGAAUUGUUAUCAAGAUGCUUUUUCCAACCAUCAAGUGAUAGUAAAUCCAAAUUCAUAAUGCAUGACUUGAUUAAUGAUCUUACUCAAGAAGUUGCUACAAAAAUAUGUUUCAAAUUUCGAGAAUAUACAUAAGGUCUCUCAAAGGACUCGUCAUUUAUCAUUCGUGCGUGGUGAGUAUGAUGUGUUCAGAAAAUUUGAAGUCCUCAAUAAACCAGAGCAAUUAAGAACAUUUGUUGCACUACCCAUCACACUAGAUACUAAGAAGAAAUGCUACUUAAGUAAUAAGGUGCUUCAUGGCUUGUUGCCAAAGUUGGGACAAUUGAGGGUGCUCUCUUUGAGUGGUUAUGAAAUAAAUGAGUUACGGGUCAAUUGGUGAUUUGAAACAUUUACGAUUUCUUAAUCUUGUCUUCUACAAAAAUCAAACAGUUACCUAAAACAGUGAGUGGUCUUUACAACUUACAAUAGUUGAUAGUAUGCAAUUGUGUGCAACUUAUUAAUUUACCUAUGAGCAUCAUAAAUUUAAUUAAUCUUCGCCAUCUUGAUAUUAGAGGUUCAACUAUGUUGAAAAAGAUGCCUCCACAAGUUGGCAAGUUGAUAAAUUUGCAAAUGUUGAAUAGGUAUUUUCUAAGCAAGGGUAAUGUGUCACAAAUAAAAGAAUUGAAGAACUUGUUGAAUCUCCGAUGAGAGCUUAGCAUUUCAGGUUUGGAGAAUAUUUUGGAUCCAAGAGAUGCGAGGUAUGUCAAUUUGAAGGAGGGAUGGGAUAUUGAAGUCUUAAUCAUGGUAUGGAGUGAAAAGUAUGGAAAUUCAAGGAAUGAAAGCACCGAGAUAGAGGUCCUUAAGUGGUUGCAACCUCAUCAAAGUUUGCAAAAACUGGAUAUUAGAUUUUAUGGUGGCUUAAAAUUCCCAAAUUGGAUAGGAGAUCCAUCCUUCUCCAAAAUAGUGUAUCUAGAUCUUAUAAAUUGUAAAAAUUGCACAUCUUUGCAGGGGGACUACCUUUCCUCAAAAACUUGGUGAUUGAAGGCAUGAAUGAAGUUAAAAGCAUAGGCGAUGAGUUCUAUAGGGAGACUGCGAAUCCUUUUUAGGCUUUAGAACAUCUGAGAUUUGAGAAAAUGCCCUAAUGGAAAGAUUGGUUAAUUCCUAAAUAGGGUCAUGAGGAAACCCAAGCAUUGUUUCCUUGCCUCUGUGAGCUUAUAAUAAUAAAAUGUCCAAAACUCAUCAACUUAUCUCAUGAGUUACCUUCCCUUGUGACGCUUCAUGUUCAAGAAUGCCAAGAAUCAGAAAUUUCAAUUCCACGACUUCCAUUUCUUAUUAAAAUAAUAGUAGUUGGGUUGUUAAAAAGUUGGGUUGUUGAUGUCCCCUCACUCACCCAAUUAUACAUUUAGAAGAUUUCAAGCCUGAGUUGUUUAUGGGAAAGGCUUGCACGGAGCUUAAUAGCCAUUGAAGAUCUGGGAAUUGCUGAAUGUGAUGAACUGGCAUGUUUGAGGAAGCCUGGAUUUGAACUGGAAAACCUUGGUGGUCUGCGACAUUCAUGGAUCAAAGGGUGUCAUGGGGUUGUAUCCUUGGAAGAGCAGGGGCUGCCUUGCCAUCUUCAAUACUGGGAAGUGAAUGGAUGUUACAACUUAGAGAAGCUGCCUAACGCAUUACACACCUUCACAUCUCUUACAGAUUUGCUAAUUCAUAAUUGCCCAAAACUGCAGUUGUAUACUUAAGUACGUGGAGAUUAAAGAGUGUCCAUUUUUUAUUGAAUUUCCAAAAGGUGAGCUACCCGCCACCCUCAAGAAGUUGACGAUUGAAGAUUGUAGGAGACUAGAGUCUCUACUUGAGGGAAUUGACAGCAACAACACUUGUCGACUUGAAUGGCUACAUGUAUGGGGAUGUCCAUCUCUCAAGUCCAUUCCAAGAGGCUACUUUCCCUCCACACUUGAGAUACUUUCCAUUUGGGACUGCGAGCAAUUGGAGUCGAUUCCAAGGAAUCUGCUGCAAAAUCUCACAUUUCUUCGACUUCUGAACAUAUGUAAUUGUCCAGAUGUGGUGUCCUCUCCAGAAGCGUUUUUGAACCCUAACCUUAAACAACUUUCUAUUUCAGAUUGUGAGAAUAUGAGGUGGUCUCCAUCUGGGUGGGGCCUCGACACACUCACCUCUCUUGGUGAGCUAUUUAUUCAAGGCCCAUUCCGAGAUCUGCUUUCUUUUUCUGGCUCUCACCUUCUUCUUCCUACUUCUCUCACCACUCUCCGGUUGGGAAAUCUCCGCAAUUUGAAAUCCAUAGCCUCCACAAGUCUACAAAGCCUCAUCUCUCUUAAAACCCUUGAAUUCCACAUUUGCCCUAAGUUCCGGUCCUUUAUGCCAAAUGAAGGGCUGCCAGCAACACUUGCAAAACUUGUAAUCAGGGAAUGUCCCGUUCUAAAAGGGCGGUGCCUCAAGGACAAAGGAAAAGAUUGGCCUAAGAUUGCCCACAUCCCCUACGUGCAAAUAGAUGGCAUUGUACAACAAUUAAAAAGCAAAUAAUAACUUCAAUCAGGUACUCUCAAUUCUCUGUAAUCUUCCAUCAAAAGUUCGACAUUCUAAUUGCUACUGUCUCUAUAAUAUUUGAGCCUCCCUUUUGUUCUGUAAUCAGGGGUUUAACAUGGUCAACAAUAAGCUACGAUGUUUUGUGCUCAAAACUUCGACUCUCACGAAUGUGUGCCCUUAGCUUUUUCCUUGCUUUUAGGAUGACAGGCCUUCCUACCUUAGUUUAAUAACUGGGUAUUUGGCACUGCCCUCUUCCAAAAUAGAGGUGCGUAUUAAUGCAUUGAAUUGUAAGUUCUGAUAGAACACAAUUUCACGAUUUUCAACUCAACAUAUUGCUUUCAUUUUCUAAUAAUAUUGAUGGAAUUUAUGUUGCACAUAUAGGAUUGCAGGAAAAGGGAUUGAUGUAGAGAUGAAAGUAAAAUUCCCUGCCAUUUGUAUCUGCAAGGGUAAAUACAAAAUUCCUACUAAGGGAUGGGCAGCUUGGUCAACUUGUAGAACUAACCCACAACAAUGGACCCUGAAUCUGGUACUCCUUUUUGCUUAAAGCCAGUAAACAAUUUCAAUCACCAUUACUUAAUAAAAGCUAUUCAUGAUUUUGUUUUAGUUCCGUUUCAUUCCAAUCUAAAUUUGAAUCUCAUUAUGUUAAUGAAGCCCUUUUAUUUUAUUUUGUUUUGUACUUUAAUCACACAGGAAUGCUCCCUUAUUCAAUGCCUAGGUUUUCUAGGAUUCUGGCAUUUACUUGGAAAUAUGUAUUGCAAAAAUGGGAGAGGUAUAACUUUCUCAAAAUUUGAAACUGAACAUUGCAUUUCAUCAGGUUGUCUUUAACUUUCUCAUCUUUUUUCUCUCUUUCUGCUUAUGCCACUUCAACUUUUUUGACUAAUUACAUGACAUUGUAAUUGUUGUUGGCCUAGAUAGUACCCUUUCUACUGGGAAUUGGUAUGUCAAGUGGUUCAGGAUGCACAGAAAGGGAAUAUAUCCCAGGUUGUUCUUUUUCUCAUUAUCUCUCUUCUCACUUUUAUUGAUUUCAAAUGUGUUCUUUCAGAUUUAUAUUAACAUAAUAUAAAUUGAAGAUAAAAUCCUCUAAUGACAGGUGGUAGUUAGGUCUUUGUAAGUUAGUCGUUGAAAGUAAAUAAGAGAGGGCAAUUAUUGGUUCAAUCAACAAUUAAUACCUCGACAUGUGCUUUGGUCUAGGUGCAAGAAAUGAGAUUGAACAAUGCCCUCCCUCUGCUUCCCGCCUUUUCUUUUCUUUGUAUUUUUUAUUUUUUAUUCUUAUUUCUUUCAUUUUUUUUCUCUUUAUAUUUGUUGAAAUUUGGCAUUCAAAGAUAGGGUUUUAAUUUAGGAAAGUAUUUUAGGAAUAAAAAAAUGAGAGAUCAUUUAGGAUAUUUCCUUAGGAUUCAGUUUCCUAAUUUUAGGAAAGAAUCAAGCUAGAUUGAUAUUUUCUUAUUCUGUCAUUUUGUGUAUAUAUAUGUGUAUGAUGUGUACCGAAUAAUCAUCAAUAAAAAGGAAUUAAAAAAUUCUUCAUGGUAUCAGAGCCAGUUUUCUGAAACCCUAAUCCCUUCUGGCCGCCUCUUACUCAGGCCAUCAUUCAUUUCGGCCAAGUCUCUCUGGCCAUCUCUCAAUCCGACCAUCUCUCUCUCUGGCCAUCUCUCAUUUCGGCCAUCAGUCCCUGUUCUCAGAGCCAAGGGAGAAAACGUUUUUCAGUCGGUCGACUCGUCGUUAGAAAACAUUCACCGCCGGUGACUUUUCCGGCGAAUUUUUCCGACGACGUCUUUUUCCCACACCGCAAGGAGCGCCUGGAGGAGAUCACCAAUUUUUCCCAAAGCACCGGAGCCAGAAAACCACCCACGCGCCGACCACGUGCGUUUUUCUGGUCGACGACUGUAUCUCACGCGUCGGCGCAUGAGGACGUGUGAGCCACUUUCCGGUGACGCGCUUCCUCCUCCAGCCUCGCUUGACGCCGACUAGCCACCCUUCAUACCAGUUCUGCCAUCCGAGCCUUGCACAUACCUCUUUUGGAGUUCUUUUGCCUCCGCGGGCCCUCCGAACAGUUUUUCCGGCGUCCUCCGGCUAUUUUUUUCUCAACCCCAAUCCCUGUACGUGCCUUGGGAAUUGUUCUUCUACCUUUCCGGUGGUGCCACGGUUGUUUUUCUUUUCCAUUAGGCCGGUAUCUCUGAUUUUCUCUCUCUAACCAUAUUCGGCUGUCUUCCUCAUCUUCAUGACAAAAUACGGAAUGACAUCAUCACAAGUAUCCAGCGUCAUGACACCAAAAUCAGGGGGCAGUUCUGAAAUUCCAAACCUUGGUGGCAGUGAUUCCUCUUCUAUUCUCAUCACAGGACACAAAUUAAAUGGCCAUAACUAUUUAUAGUGGUCACAAUCUGUGUUGCUGUUCAUUUGCGGUAAAGGAAAUGAUGAGUACCUCAUUGGAGAAGCAGCCAUGCCAGAAACUACAGAACCGGGUUUCAGGAAGUGGAAGAUUGAAAACAGCAUGAUCAUGUCAUGGCUUAUCAAUUCCAUGAACAAUGACAUAUGUGAAAAUUUUUUGCUGUUUNNACUGCAAAGGACAUUUGGGAUGCAGCCAAAGAAACUUACUCAAGUUCUAAAAANNNNNNNNNNNNNNNNNNNNNNNNNNNNNNNNNNNNNNNNNNNNNNNNNNNNNNNNNNNNNNNNNNNNNNNNNNNNNNNNNNNNNNNNNNNNNNNNNNNNUUGAAUCAGCCCUACAUGACUUCCGCCAAGGAGAGCAGUCAGUUACUUAGUAUUACAACACACUCACAAGGUAUUGGCAGCAACUUGACUUAUUCGAGACUCAUGGAAAUGUUCGGAUGAUGCAGCAACAUACAGGAAAAUUGUGGAACAAAAGAGACUGUUCAAGUUUUUCCUAGGACUAAACAGGGAAUUGGAUGAUGUUAGAGGCCGAAUCAUGGGCAUUAAACCCCUGCCAAGUCUUAGGGAGGUUUUUUCAGAGGUUAGGCGUGAAGAAAGUAGAAAGAAAGUGAUGAUGGGAUCCAAAGAGCAACCUGCCCCAACAUUAUAUGCCUUUGCCCUUGCUGCUCGGUCAUUUAAUAGUAGUGGUGGAGAUUGUCAGAAACGGGAUAGGCCUUGGUGUGAUUAUUGUAAGAAACUAGGCCAUUAUAAGGAGGCUUGCUGGAAGCUUCAUGGCAAACCGGCUGAUUGGAAACCAAAGCCACGGUCUGAUAGAGAUGGUAGAGCACACGUGGCUGCCAACUCUGAGAGCACAUCUAUUCCCGAGCCGAGUCCAUUCAACAAAGAGCAGAUGGAGAUGCUACAGAAACUAUUAAGCCAAGUUGGCAGUGGCAGUACUACCGGGAUAGCCUUCACUGCUAAUCAAGGAGGAAUGAAGUUGUGGAUAGUGGACACAGGUGCUUCUGAUCACAUGACAGGAGAUGUUGCCAUUCUUCAAAAUUACAAGCCAAGUAAUGGUCAUUCAUCCGUCCAUAUUGCUGAUGGUUCAAAGUCAAAAAUUGUCGGGACAGGUUCCAUAAAACUUACUAAAGACUUGUAUCUUGACUCUGUCCUUCAUGUUCCAAACUUGGAUUGUAAUCUUUUGUCCAUUAGCAAAUUGGCCCAUGAUCUCCAAUGUGUUACUAAAUUUUAUCCAAACUCGUGUGUUUUUCAGGACUUGAAAUCGGGGAAAAUGAUUGGCAGUGGUGAACUGUGUUCCAGGCUCUACCUCCUCCCAUGUGGCCAAUUCUCAAACCAAGUCUCUCAAGCAAGUUGCGUAUAGUCUCAGAGUAUGUUAGAGUCUUUCAAUUCUGUGUCAAAUUCUAAGGUCAAUAAAGAUAGUGAGAUUAUAAUGUUACACUAUUGCCUUGGUCAUCCUAGCUUUUUUUACCUUACAAAAUUGUUUCCCAAAUUAUUUAUCAAUAAAAAUCCAGCAUCUUAUCACUGUGAAAUUUGUCAGUUUGCAAAGCAUACUCGAACAGUAUAUCCUCAAAUCCCAUACAAACCUUCAACUAUUUUCUCUUUAGUACAUAGUGAUGUGUGGGGUCCCUUACGGAUAAAAAAUAUUUCUGGCACUCGAUGGUUUGUGACAUUCGUUGAUGAUCAUACACGGGUAACAUGGGUUUUCCUUAUGAAAGAAAAGUCAGAGGUCGGGCACAUUUUUCAAACCUUCAAUCUUAUGGUUCAAAAUCAAUUCAAUUCCAAAAUUCAAGUCCUCAAGUCAGAUAAUGCAAAGGAAUAUUUUACUAGUAGUCUCAGUACUUAUCUUCAAAAUCACGGCAUUAUCCACAUAAGUUCUUGCGUUGACACCCUACAACAAAAUGGGAUGGCUGAACGCAAGAAUAGACAUCUCUUGGAGGUUGCCCGGUGCCUUAUGUUUUCCUCUAAUGUUCCAAACUAUUUCUGGGGGGAAGCCAUUCUCACAGCUACCUAUUUGAUUAACCGUAUGCCAUCCAAAGUGCUUACCUUUCAAUCCCCAUGUCAACUUCUCUUAAAAAAAUUCCCUCACACCCGUGCAGCCUCUUCUGAUUUACCACUCAAAGUAUUUGGUUGCACGGCAUUCGUUCAUGUGUAUCCUCAAAAUCGUAGCAAAUUUGCUCCUUGAGCCAAUAAGUGCAUUUUCCUAGGGUAUUCUCUAACCCAAAAAGGGCACAAAUGCUAUUCUCCAACCAACAAAAGAUUUUACACCACCAUGGAUGUCUCUUUCUUUGAACAUGUCUUCUUCUAUCCCAAAUCUCAUGUUCAGGGGGAGAGCAUGAAUGAACAUCAAGUUUGGGAGUCUCUUCUUAAGGCUGUACCUUUUUCUCACUCAGAGUCACCAAAUCCUUUCCAAUCCACGCCCACUGAGUUGUCCACACCCAUGCCGUCAUCAGUCCAGCUAGCCCAGCCCACAAAUGUUCCUUCUCCCGUGACCAUCCAGUCUCCCAUGCCUAUUCAACCUAUAGCCCCACAACUUGCUAAUGAGAACUUACAAGUUUACAUCAGGAGGAGGAAAAGACAGGAAUUAGAGCAUGGAUCACAGCCAACAUGUGGCCAAUAUAUUGACUCCAUUUCAAGUCUACCUGAAGAGAACAUAGGUGAGGAUAGGGCUGGAGAGGUGUUAAUUCCCAGCAUUGAUGAUUCUACUAUGCCGAUUGCAUUGAGGAAGAGUGUUAGGAGAUGUACAGAUCAUCCAAUUGGGAAUUAUGUUACGUAUGAAGGGCUAUCACCAUCUUACAGAGCAUUUGCUACUUCUCUUGAUGAUACUCAGGUUCCCAACACAAUACAAGAGGCAUUCAAAAUUUUAGAAUGGAAGAAGGCAGUACAAGAUGAGAUUGAUGCACUUGAGAAGAAUGGGACAUGGACUAUCACAGAUUUGUCGAUUGGGAAGAGGCCCGUGGGGUGCAAGUGGAUUUUCACCAUAAAAUACAAAGCAGAUGGAUCAGUCGAGAGAUUCAAGGCUCGUUUGGUAGCUAGAGGGUUUACACAAUCCUAUGGGAUAAACUAUCAGGAGACUUUUGCUCCUAUUGCAAAACUGAACACUAUCAGGAUUCUUCUCUCAUUGGCUGUCAAUCAAGAUUGGUGCUUGCAACAACUGGACAUAAAAAAUGCGUUUCUAAAUGGUGACCUAGAAGAGGAAGUCUACAUGGAAAUACCACCUGGUUUCGAAGGAAAUAUGGCAAAGAAUCAGGUUUGCAAACUCCAAAAAUCCUUGUAUGGCCUUAAACAAUCUCCCCGAGCCUGGUUUGAUAGAUUCACAAAGGCAGUCUUAAAGCUGGGCUACAAACAAGGUCAGGCUGAUCAUACUCUAUUUGUCAAGAAGUCUCAUGCCGGGAAAAUGGCCAUAUUGAUAGUAUAUGUCGAUGAUAUUAUUCUAUUUGGGAAUGAUAUGGAGGAAUUACAGAAUUUGAAGAAGUAUUUUUCAGAAGAGUUUGAAGUUAAAGACCUUGGAAAUUUGAAAUAUUUCCUUGGUAUGGAAGUGGCUAGAUCAAGGAAGGGAAUUGUAGUCUCUCAAAGAAAAUACAUACUCGAUCUUCUUAAGGAGACCGGUAUGCUUGGAUGCAAACCAAUUGAUACUCCUAUGGAUAGUCAGAAUAAACUUGGUAUCGAGAAAGAGAGUACACCGGUAGACAGGGGGAGAUAUCAGCGGCUCGUUGGGCGCUUGAUUUAUCUCUCACACACUCGGCCAGAUAUUGGCUUUGCAGUGAGUGCUGUAAGUCAAUUCAUGCACAGCCCCACUGAGGAACACAUGGAAGCAGUCUACAGGAUUCUUAGAUAUUUAAAAAUGACACCAGGGAAAGGUCUAUUCUUCAGAAAGACAGAGAAUCGUGACACUGAAGUAUACUCAGAUGCGGAUUGGGCAAGAAACAUCAUUGACAGGCGGUCCACUUUUGGAUACUGUUCUUUUGUCUGGGGAAAUCUUGUUACCUGGAGGAGUAAGAACCAAUCAGUUGUAGCCAGAAGUAGUGCAGAAGCUGAGUACAGAGCACUAGCACAGGGAAUCUGUGAAGGGAUUUGGAUAAAAAGGGUUCUUAGUGAACUAGGACAAACGAGUUCAUCUUCGAUUUUGAUGAUGUGUGAUAAUCAGGCAGCUAUAAGCAUAGCAAAGAACCCCGUGCAUCAUGACAGGACCAAGCACGUUGAGAUUGACAGACACUUCAUCACAGAGAAGGUGACUAGUGAGAUGGUUAAAUUGAACUACGUUCCUACCAAGCACCAAACCGCAGACAUCCUCACCAAAGCUUUACCUAGGCCUAACUUCGAAGACUUAACUUGCAAGUUGGGAUUAUAUGAUGUAUAUUCUCCAGCUUGAGGGGGAGUGUUGAAAUUUGGCAUUCAAAGUUAGGGUUUUAAUUUAGGAAAGUAUUUUAGGAAUAAAAAAAGGAGAGAUCAUUUAGGAUAUUUCCUUAGGAUUCAGUUUCCUAAUUUUAAGAGAGAAUCAAGCUAGAUUGAUAUUUUCUUAUUCUGUCAUUUUGUGUAUAUAUAUGUGUAUGGUGUGUACCGAAUAAUCAUCAAUAAAAAGGAAUUCAGAAAUUCUUCAAUAUUAAACCUCAUGAGUCUCAAGAAAUGGCUCUCAAAGACUCCUGGCAAGAUAUUGGUGAAUUGUAAGAAUAUUUGUAAUGGUAAUGUUAAGAUUGCAGAAUUAAAAAAUAAUCAGAUGAAUUUAUUGAAGAGUGAUUUGAUAAAAAGGUGAAAUAACUUAUCCAAAAGAAGGAAAUUAGCUAACGUUGAGAGGGAAGAGUGGAUCCUUUCCACACCAUGAGGAGCUUAAAAAGAGGGAAGAGUUAAAGAAACUAAAAUGAUAACCCUUGGAUCCUCUUACAAAGUGUCAAGUAUGGACUCCUGCUUUGGCAAGAGCAAAAUUUGCUAAGGCAUGGUCUAAGUUAUGAAUAGCAUACAACUUUGGACACACUUGUAAUUUCCAUAUUGCAGAUUCAUUUUUUGAAAAUUGCCAUCUGGAUAUCUAUCAUCUCUAUGCCACAAUAACAAAAGUGUUCUCCUAAGGUCUUAGUCCAACUUUCAAAGCCAUAGACCACCACAAGCCAAAAUUUCUUGAAUAACAGGACAAUUGUAUACUUUAGGACUUGAUAACAAUGAGAAGAAUUUUAGUGGAGGUAGAAUGAAGUAGGUCUGCCCAUGUAACAUCUCCAACAUUCCUUUGACUCUAAAGCCUUUUUUUACUCCUUUCCUACUUUUCCAUUCCUUGUCAUGUGUUUGGCUGCACCUUCAUGUUCUUUGUCUAUAUACAUGGAAAACAGUUAUAUUCUUAGGGCUCUUCAUUUAGUACUUCAGUAUAUAUAUUCAACACACACACACACACACACACACACACACACACACACACACAUAUAUAUAUAUAUACACACACAUAUAUUAAUUAUAAUCAGAAUUCAUUGCUUGAAUAUUAAUCUAUAAAGAAUCCAUAAAACUUGAUUUUUGCUUCUCUUUUCAUUCCAUACUUAUGCAAUCUUUAAUUGUUGUUGCAUUAGUGCUUGUCUUUAGGUGUUGAAGAUGUGGAUGAGGUUCAUACAACAGUUUUUUGCCUUCCAAAAGGUGAGCUACCGACCACCCUUAAGUGGUUGUUAAUUGAAGAUUGUCAUAAACCGAGGAUGUUCAUCCAAGGGAAUUAAGCACCAUGCUUUAAUGGACAACAAUAACACUUGUUGUCUUGAAUGAAUAGAGGUAUGGGGAUGUUCAUCUCUAAAGUCCAUUCCAUGGAUCUCCAAAGAACUCUACAACUGCCUAAACUCUCAUCCUUUGUGCCAAAGGAAGGGCUGCCACUAACACUUGUAAGAGUUGUAAUGGGGACAUGUCCUAUUCUAAAACAAAGGUGCCUCAAGAGCAAAGGAAAAUAUUAGCCCAAGAUUGCCCACAUCCCCUACAUGGGAACAUAUGACAUUGUAUUACAAUAACAAGUUCAACCAGGCACCCCAAUUCUUUGUAAUCUUGCACCAAAGAUUCUACUCACUAAUUAUUAUUUUGUUUAAAUAUGUUCUAGUCUUUUCUUAUCCUUUUUUACCUCAAGGAUUCUAUUAUUUCUAAAAGAAGCUCCAAGGGUUUCAUGAAAUUGCCAACAACCCACCCUGAGAUAGAUAACAUUGUACAACAGUAAAAAGUUCAAUCAUGUAGCCCAAUUUCGUGAACCCAUGGCAAAUGUGAAAGCCUUUUAAUCACGGUAACCCGAAAAGGCAAUAGAAAAGGCUGCAUGAUCAUCUCAUAUCUCUUGUAGAGUUGAGACUCAUCAUGCUCAAAAAUCUUUUCCUCUGAAGGGACUGUCAUUUUGUGGUUAGUGAUUGUGAGGAGAAUACUUUUAUUAUUGACUUAUCUACUUUUGAAUUCCUCAUUGAUUAAAAUUUGAUUAGGAGUUUUGGCUUUUGACUGCAGUUAUAGGCUCUAAACACUAACAUCUCUCUAAAACAAUCAGCUAUAUGCAUGGUCUCAUCACUCCAACUUCUCUAGCAUCCAAAAACUCUAGAAUCGGGAAUGUGCCCUUAGCUUUGUCCUUAUUGGCCAAAAUAAGCCAUUCCUGCCGCACUUCAAUUUGUAAGUUCUAAUAGAAAGCAAUUUUCACCAUUCUCAACUCAAAAGAUUGCCUUUACCUUUUGAUAAUGAUGGAAUUUAUGUUGUACAUGUAGGAUGACAUGCAAAUGAAAGCAAAAUUUCUUAGGUCUGGUGCAGCUCAUUGGCAUCUGCAUGGGUAAAUAUCCUAAUCAUGAAAUUUUGUGUUUAAUGAAAGCAAAAUUGUUGCAUUUAGUGGACCAUUCUUUUUUACUUUUGGUAUAUGUGAUUCCAAUUUCUAGUCUAACAGUUUUUGUUAACACCUUUUGCACUAUUCUCAAAAGGUUUUGAGGUCAUGCAUUACAUAUAAAGACUCAUCAGUUAAAAAAAAACACAAAACUAAUUUUAAUUCUCUUCUUUUUGUUUUGUUUUUGAGAUGAUGUGAGUUUUUCCCCCAUUGGUUUGGUAUGGGCAAGUGGUGUUAAUAGGAAUCUGAGGGCCUCAAGGAGUUAGAGAACAUUAUCAAUCAAGUAUUCAACAAAUGUUGAGAGAAAUAAAAUUAGACAAUGGUGAGAAGAAGAAAUUUCAAAUCCAGGGUGAGCCUUGGUUUUUUGCUUUCCAUGUUUCAAAUUAAGCUUUUAAUAUGUGAUCUCGGUCUUUUAGUUUUGCCCAGUGCUUAUAUUUUUUUAUGAUCUAAAUUGAGCCUUCACUUCUACCAUGUCUCAAUUGGUGCUUGCAUUUCUAAGUGUCAAGUGUCAUUCUUUUGGAGGUUAUUCAAUUUUCAGACUAUGACAAGAUAAAAUCUCAAUGCAAUCCUAAUUACACGUUUUUCUUUCUAGAAUCAUUUGAACUUAGUAAUAAUUCAACCUAUGUUUUGAAUUUCAGGAUAUGAGACUUGUUUCAUCUGAAAAAGAAUGUAGGUAGAACCCAAGUGAAUCCCACCAUUUGAAAACUUAUGCAUCAAUGGUUACUGCUCUUGCCCACCCAGAUUUGGAUUUGAAAGACGAAAAUACAAUGCAUCAAUGGUUCAGUUGGGAAAACAAUUUUCAUACAUGGAGAGAGAGCAGAAGAGGAUUCUUGCAAGUAGCCAAGCGAUUCCUUACGUACAAUUUUAUUAAUUGCCUUAAAUGCAUUGUACCUUAUGGAGAGAGAGCAUUGGCCUAUCGCCAAAAUUUUGAAAAAAUCGAUGGUUUUUUUACAGUCUUCCUCUGUUGCUCCGUGUGUCACUCUAUGCUCGAUUUUUUCAUCGAUUUUUCACCUCCAAAUUGAUAUAUCAUCGAUAUUUCGCUGAUAUUACUGAAAUUUUUUCGAAAUUCUCAUCGAUUGAUAAUUGGUGCCUAAUAUUAUGUCGGGCACCAUUGAUAUUUGAUAUAUCAACGAUAUUUUGCUGAAAAAUAUGAAAUUUUAAUCUUUGCCUAUAGGCAAGUGUUUCCUCCAUCCCACUCAACUAUAUAUCAAAACAAUCAAAACAUAUUUACUAGGCAAAACCUCAAUAUAUAUAUAUAUAUAUAUAUAAUAAAAAAAUUAAAAAAAAAAAAAAAAACCAGAAAGCAUUGGCCUUAAGUUAGUGAUUAUGCCUAAAAGAUUAAUGUCAAAUUAUCUUCACCAAUAAAUACAAUAUUCUUACUACAUUUUUUCAAACGAUUCUCUAUGGCCAAAAUCUAAAUAAAUAAAAUAAAAAUAAUAUAUUAUAUGUGCCUUUUAUAUGUAGUAUAUUGGUUUUGCUCAUGCAUGUAGUAUAAUUAUUUUGUAAAUAAAAUAAUUUUUGAAAAAAGAAAUAAUAGUAAUAAUAAUGAUAAAGUGAAUAAUUGAAAAAAAAAUUAAAAGAUAGACUUUAUCUUCUUUUUGCUUUUGCCCUAUUCCUUUUUUUUCCUUUCUAGCAACACUACUGCAACAUUACCAUUUUUCAAACCAAUAAGCAUCCACUAAGCAACACUCUAUUCUCUGUCUCUGUCUCUCUGUCUCUGUCUCUCUCUCUCUCUCUCUCUCUCUCUUUUCCAUUGCAAUCGUGGACCAUGCAGCACCUAUUUUUUGGCAGCUGUAACACCUUCACGUUUUUUCAACCAUGGAGAGCUUUUUACUUUAUUCAAAUAUGAUUAACCUUUUAUUUUAUUUUAUUUUCAAUUAAAACAAUCCAUUUUUUAUUUUUUUUAAAAACAUAAAAAUGAUGGAGAAAAGGAUAAAACAUAAAUUUGAAAUCUUUACCAUCAAAAUUUUUCAAACAAAAAAUAAAGUGCAACCUUCAAAGCUUCUAAGAACAAAGUGAAUGAGUCUGAAGAUAGUUUUUUUAUGUUUGUGCUUUUGAUACCAUGGAUAUCCACAUUUGCACAUGCAUUUUAAAAGAAAUCCAUAACUCUCUACUUGCAUUGAAUCGACUAAUUUUUAUUUUUUUUUAAUAGUAGUCAUUUAUUGUCAUGCCUUAUGAUUGUUGUGUAUAUUUAUAUCCUUAUUCUCUUUAGAUAUUGAUUAUAUAUUAUAGCAUUUGAUUAUAUGCUUUAGAUAUCCAACAAAAAAAAAUCGUAGAAAUCAUUGAAGUUCUCUCAACUUGAUAUUAGAUAUUGAUUUAGGGUUUAAAUGGGUGUUAUAACUUAUGUCAUACUGUAGACCCCCAUUUUGGGGUGUAUUUUUGCAGAUCAUUUUUGCCAGGUGGAAGGCUCUUGGAAGACCACAUGUUGCCCUAAGAUUGGUCAUUGGGGAAUUGAUUCGUCCCCAAUUGGUGUACUCUUGAUUCAGUCCUUAGACGGGAGUUAUCAACAAAAUUUAUAAACCUAAUUCACCAUAUACUAGGGUAGCAUAGCUAGCAUAGCAUAGUGGUUCUAGGAUCGUCCACAGGGAUGUGUUUUCAUUUCACACAUGAUAUUAGUUUAAAGAAUUGGAUUGGUGUUUUUUCUUUUAUGAGUUAGCUUUAAAAGAAAACAUAAUCUUUGGUUGAAAAAUGUUGGUUUUAAGCUAACCAAAAAAAUAGUAACUGAUAUUAAUUAUAAAGAAAAGGUUUCUUGGAGUUUCAGGUCACUAGGCUCAGGUUCCUUAUACAAAAGGGGAUAUUCCAGAUCUUUUCCUUGCAUUAGGGAUUUAACCUACAGUUAUCCUCCCAACUGGUGUGUUACAGUUGCUUCCCAUUAAUGGUUUCAACGCUAAAUCCCUCUCACUGAUGCAUCUUGCAAUGGCUCGUACCUCUCACCUAGCAUUUGCCAUUUAGGGUGAUCCUUAACCUUGAAUUACCCUUCAAAAGCUUGUUGGAGAUAAUUAAUGGAUGUCUCCAGGGAGUCCAAAAGCUUACCAAGUGUUGGCUAUUCUAGAUAAUCCUACCUUUAAACCACUUCCCAGAGGCUCGCAAGAGAUAACUAAUGGAUCUCUGUGGAUUGAGUCCGAAAAGCUUACCAAGUGUUGGCCCGGGUGAUUAUAAGGGAUUUCAAGUUAACUAAAAAUAUAAAAACCAUUACCGGAUCACAACUUCCUCUUCAUUAAAAAUUGAAACAAUGAAAACUCCCACUUUUGUAUCUGGGUCCCUUACCUAGCUUCCUUCAGUCCAAGAAACAAAAAGUCUAGCCACUCAUCCUCUGAGAAAACAUCCUCAAAGAUUGUUUGGCUAGAAAGAAAAUACAAUCAAAGUGAGUAGGUAAGGCGGAGCAAAGCUCUAUAUGUUUCUUACUAAAAAAUGUACAAGUGAUCCCCAAGAAUGUUUUCCGAGAUUCUGAGAUAGAUAUUACAAAAAUAGAUAUGUUAAGAUAUAUAUAGAAAGAUAUUUUUAACCCCUCAAUUAGAUAUCCUAAAUAUCUAAAAAGAUCUUUAGCUGAUUACAAUGAGAGAAUAGAUAAUUACACAAAAUAUCUUGAGGUAAAAAUCUAACUGAGUUGGUGCGCAAAUAUCUGAAGAUUACAUGAAGAUUUCACAAGUUAGAUAUGGAGUUGCGAAAAUUUCGCAAGGUUGAAAAGGAGUUGUGAAAUUUUUGCAAUGUUGAAAAGGAAUUGCGAAAAUUUCUUUUGGCUUGCAAAAAUUUCACAAAUGGUGAAAAGAGGUUGCAAAAUUCUUUAGUGUUAGAUUUCUUCUCUGAUUCUCUUCCUUGCAUACUUGAUUGAUUUGGCAAAGGCUUCGAAGCUCUCCAAAACUUGAAUUUUUCAUGUAAUUUAGCUUCAAUCUUGCUUUGCCAUGGAUUAUACCAAGUUCUCCCUCAUUCUUGGCUUGUUUUAAUGAUAAAAAAAGCUAUCAAAAACAUCAAAACUUGCCAAAAAUUGAUUAGUAACACUUGUAAGGGUCCAUAAUGUGCCAAUUAGGUUAAAAGGUAAUAAAUACUACUCAAAAGUGUUUAAAAGAGUUUAUAAGAAGCUACAAAAGAGCACUUUUUAAGUAGUAAUCACUCCCUCCAACCAACAUAUUACUAGUCCCUUAGCAAUGAAUGAGAGAAAAACAAAAAUAAGAUAGUAAAAUAAUUUACAAGUUCAUGCUGAUCACUCCAAAAAAUCAUAAGUGGCAUGAUUGUAAAGCAUAUUCUCACAUGAAAUAUUAAAGAAGCGAAACUCAUCCUUUAACAAGAGGAUAUCAAAAAUCUUACCUGAUCAUAAUUCAUACACAGUAGGUAUUAUGCAAAUUUAAGUAAUGAGAGGAUUUUCACUUUCCUAGGCUCAAUCAUUACUUUUCCACAAAAAUCUGUGUUAAGCUUAUUAGUUUCCGAAUAUAGUACUCUGAACUAAUCUCUCCCCCCAACCUAGUUCUUUCUCAGACUUUAGCAAACUGACCACUUCCAAUAAGCUAAGAAUGCACCUCUUUUAUUUCACAAUUGUUUUUCUUGUAGGUGUGAGGUAUUGUUUUCUAAAGUGUCCAUGUAACGGGAAUCCAUCGAUGACUCCCAACCAAUCAAGGUUUAGGGCAUCAAGCUUUAAGGAUAUUUUGACCACUAACUCCUCAGAUUUUUACCCCGGACUUUUGAAAUUGAAAUUGAUUACUACCCAAAAAGUGCUAUUUUACACCUUUAAUGCAUUAUGUUUUAAGCACUUUUGUGUAGUAGUUCUCCAUCUUUAGUCCAAUUGGCAUGUUAAGGACCUAUCAAUGUCUUCUAAUCAUAUUUGUGGCUAGUUUUAGUGUUUUGACAGCUUUUUGGAUCAUUAAGACAAGCCAAGCAAAGGAGAGAAGCAAAGAGAAGCAAAGUGAAAAAAUCAGAGGACAACAGCUUCAGUCUUCUUUCAUACUUUUGGACGCACUUCCCGAAGUUCAUUUUNNNNNNNNNNNNNNNNNNNNNNNNNNNNNNNNNNNNNNNNNNNNNNNNNNNNNNNNNNNNNNNNNNNNNNNNNNNNNNNNNNNNNNNNNNNNNNNNNNNNUUUCCUCUGUUUUGCCCGACUCCACUUUAGAUAUUUUCUUAUGUAUUUUUUGAUGUAAUUUUCUUUCUUAUCCUUGUAACUAACCAAUCACAAGCUUUUGCUUUUGUAAAGACUAUAUAAGGGGUGGAAAUCACCUUUUUGAAUAUAUGUGAUAUGUGUUACGUUUAACACUUAGAAAAAUAUACAGAGCUCUCUCGUUUCUCUUUUCUCUUUACUAUUUUAUUUUUCUUGGAAGCCAAACAACCUCUGAGGAUGUUUUCCCGGAGGAUGAGAGGCUAAACUUUUGGUUUCUUGGAGUGAAGGAAGCUAGGUGAAAAGUCCAGAUGAAAAGGUGGAAAGCUUUCGUGCAUUAAAUUCAGGUAGUUGGAGUUCAUAAAUGGCUUCUAAAUCCAAAGUUUUGCUUUAAAUCCCUUAGAAUCACUUUGAAUGGCCAAUACAUGGUAAGCUUCAGGUCUCUAUGGAUGCUUAUUACUAGAUCCAUAUCAGUCUAUUAGUUAUCAUGUACGAGCCAUUGGAAAGUGAUUCAAGGUGAAGACCCAUAGUGUCUAAAGCCAUUAAUGGACCUUGACUACCAUUCCUAUUGACUUUUUAUGGAUUAAAUCUUCAUUGUCAAACCUAUAUCGGUUCGGGAAAUAACUAUAGGUUAAAUCCCCAAUGCGAGGAGAAAAAUCCAAAAUUUUCCACUUUGCAUUCUGAACUUGAUCCUAGCAACCCUUAGCUCUGAGAGACUUUCUUUCUUCUAUUUUCACUUAGUUUAUAUUAGUUUAGUUUCAAACACUUUCAAAACAAAUUUUAUUUUCUUUUAAACUUUAAGUUUUUUUAUAAAGAAAAUCAUUAAAUUCAAUUUCUAACCUUGAGUAUAUCACUGGUAGAAUGAAAACCCAUCCCAGAGUUCGACCCUAGAGCCACUAUACUAUAGUAGCUUUGCUACGCUAGUAUGAGGUCAUAGGUUUUAUAAAUGUUUUUGAUUAAAUGACCCAACUGGAGUUUCACGCGAAUCAAAAUGGCGUCGUUGCCGGGGAUGGUGCCACAAUACAGUGAUACAACCUUUUAAAGGCUACUUGUGAUUUUCAUCACAAGUUUGGUGAAUUCCUUUUUCACUAACUUCAUUUCCUUUCAUUUUCCUUUUGUUAAGUUUAUUUUCGUUUUCUUUCUAACCUUAACUUUUUUCUAGUUUUCUUUUGUUUUGGUUGUUUUUGUUUUAUUUCAGGUAAGUUGUAACUUGUGUAUGCCCUAUUGGAUUCGGGACCAAGAGGGAAGAUUAGUAAGGAUUGAGAAUCCUCAAGACACAGAGUUGGAUAUCUGUGUAAACAUCAUGGACCCUCCACAAGAGGAUCAGAAUUCUCAACACGGUCAAGGGGGUAAUCCAAAUGCAUAUCUAUCCAUGAGGGAUAGAAUACACCCACCAAGGAUGAGUGCACCCUCAUGCAUCGUACCUUCUCUUGAGCAGCUGGUUAUAAGGCCCCAUAUUGUGCCCCUUCUACCAAAUUUCCAUGGAAUGGAAAGUGAGAAUCCAUAUGCCCACAUCAAGGAGUUUGAGGAGGUUUGCAAUACCUUUAGAGAGGGAGGAGCUUCAAUAGACUUGAUGAGAAUCAAGCUAUUCCCUUUUACUUUGAAGGAUAAGGCAAAAAUAUGGCUUAAUUCUUUAAGGCCAAGGAGCAUAAGGAAUUGGGUUGAUCUUCAAGCCGAAUUUUUGAAGAAAUUUUUCCCCACCCAUAGGACCAAUGGGUUGAAGAGACAAAUCUCAAAUUUUUCUACAAAAGAAAAUGAGAAGUUCCAUGAAUGUUGGGAAAGGUAUAUGGAGGCCAUCAAUGCUUGCCCUCAUCAUGGCUUUGAUACAUGGCUCUUGGUGAGCUAUUUUUAUGAUGGGAUGUCUUCCACCAUGAAGCAAAUUCAUGAAACCAUGUGUGGGGGAGAUUUUAUGAGCAAGAAUCCGGAAGAAGCCAUGGACUUUUUAAGUUAUGUGUCUGAGGUGUCAAGAGGAUGGGAUGAGCCCAACUCAAGAGAGAAAGGAAAGUUUCCCUCUCAACCAACCCAAAAUCCAAAGGGUGGAAUGUACGUGUUAAGUGAAGACAUGGACAUGAAGGCUAAGGUGGCAACAAUAGCAAGGAGGUUGGAAGAACUUGAGUUGAAAAAGAUGCAUGAAGUCCAAGCCAUUUCCGAGACACAAGCCCAUGUCAUGCCAUGCACCAUUUGCCAAUCAUGUGAUCAUGUGGUAGAUGAGCGCCCAACCAUGCCAGCUGUGAGGGAGAUGUUAGGUGAUCAAGCCAAUGUUGUGGGGCAAUUUAGGCCUAACAACAAUGCACCUUAUGGAAACACCUAUAAUUCAAGCUGGAGAAACCAUCCAAAUUUUUCUUGGAAACCAAGACCACCUCCAUACCAACCAGCCCAAACCCAAGCACCUCAACAAACCUCUUCAGUGGAGCAAGCCAUUGCGAACCUAAGUAAAGUCAUGGGUGACUUUGUGGGUGAACAAAAGGCAAUCAACUCCCAAUUGCAUUAAAAGAUUGAAAAUGUUGAGAGUUCUCAAAUUAAGAGAAUGGAGGGGAUGCAAAAUGAUCUAUCUCAGAAGAUAGAUAAUAUUCAAUACUCCAUCUCUAGGCUUACCAACCUCAACACAGUGAAUGAGAAGGGAAAGUUUCCCUCUCAACCAAGCCAAAAUCCCAAGGGUGUUCAUGAAGUUGAAACUCAAGAGCGGGAGUCUUCAAAGUUGAGGGAGGUUAAAGCUGUGAUCACUUUGAGGAGUGAAAAGGAGGUUGAUCAAUCCUUGCCUAAGGUGAGGCAAGAUGAAGAACUCGUGUCAAAGAAAACCUUGGUUAAAGAGAGUAAUAACCAAGAAGAGAAGAGUGGGAAGAAAAGUGCAUCCAAAUCAAGCAUUGAAGAAGAACCAAGGAUAGUGAUUAAAGAGGAUAUGAUGAAGAAACAUAUGCCUCCCCCUUUUCCUCAAGCUUUACAUGGAAAGAAGGAAAUCAAGAAUUCAUCAGAAAUUCUUGAAGUUUUGAGACAAGUGAAGGUGAAUAUACCCUUACUUGAUAUGAUCAAACAAGUCCCCACAUAUGCAAAGUUUCUAAAGGACUUGUGCACGGUCAAGAGAGGGUUACAUGUGACAAAGAAUGCAUUCCUCACUGAGCAAGUAAGUGCUAUCAUUCAGAGUAAGUCCCCAGUUAAGUAUAAAGAUCCGGGAUGUCCCACCAUUUCAGUCAACAUUGGAGGGACACAUGUGGAGAAAGCUUUACUAGACUUGGGGGCAAGUGUGAAUUUGCUCCCAUACUCUGCGUACAAGCAACUGGGACUUGGUGGAUUGAAGCCCACAACCAUCACUCUCUCUUUAGCUGACAGGUCAGUCAAAAUCCCAAGGGGGGUGAUAGAGGAUGUUCUAGUUCAAGUGGACAAAUUCUACUAUCCUGUGGAUUUUGUGGUGCUUGAUAUUGAUCCCACUGUUAAGGAAGCAAACUAUGUACCAAUCAUCAUUGGGAGACCUUUCCUAGCUACCUCCAAUGCCAUCAUCAAUUGUAGAAAUGGGGUGAUGCAGCUCACAUUUGGGAAAAUGACCUUGGAAUUAAAUAUAUUCCACCUAUGCAAGAGGCAUCUUCACCCAGAAGAUGAGGAAGGAUUGGAGGAGGUGUGCUUGAUCAACACCUUAGUUGAAGAGCAUUAUGACAAGAAUUUACAAGAGAGCUUGAAUAAAAGCCUUGAAAUGUUUAAAGAAGGGUUACCUGAACCCUCUGAUGUUCUAGCCAUCAUGUCUCCUUGGAGGAGACGGGAAGAGAUCUUACCACUAUUCAAUAAGGAGGACUCACAAGGAGCAGCUGUGGAGGACCCUCCAAAGCUUGUUUUGAAGCCGCUUCCUGUUGAUUUGAAAUAUGCAUAUUUGGAGGAAGAUGAGAAAUGUCCAGUGGUGGUUUCUUCAACUCUUACUAGUGAUCAAGAGGAUAGUCUUUUGGGAGUCCUCAGGAAAUGCAAGAAAACCAUUGGAUGGCAAAUUUCUGAUCUGAAAGGGAUUAGCCCUUUGGUGUGCACCCACCAUAUCUAUAUGGAGGAAGAUGCCAAACCAGUGAGGCAGCCCCAGAGGAGGUUGAAUCCUCACAUGCAAGAGGUGGUGAGGGGUGAAGUUCUGAAGCUACUCCAAGCUGGGAUCAUAUAUCCCAUUUCAGACAGCUUGUGGGUGAGCCCCACCCAAGUAGUCCCAAAGAAAUCUGGAAUUACUGUGGUCCAGAAUGAGAAAGGGGAGGAAGUCUCUACACGUCCUACCUCAGGAUGGAGGGUGUGUAUAGACUACAGGAGGUUGAAUUCAGUGACUAGGAAGGACCAUUUCCCAUUGCCUUUCAUGGACCAAGUCCUUGAGAGAGUCUCAAGACAUCCUUUCUACUGUUUUUUGGAUGGUUACUCGGGGUACUUCCAAAUAGAGAUUGAUUUGGAAGAUCAAGAAAAGACAACCUUCACUUGCCCCUUUGGUACUUUUGCGUAUAGGAGAAUGCCCUUUGGUCUAUGUAAUGCUCCUGCAACUUUCCAAAGAUGUAUGCUGAGCAUCUUCAAUGAUAUGGUGGAGCGCAUCAUGGAAGUCUUCAUGGAUGACAUCACUAUAUAUGGAAGUUCUUAUGAGGAGUGUUUGUUGCAUUUAGAAGCUGUUCUCCACAGAUGUAUUGAGAAAGACCUAGUGCCAAAUUGGGAGAAGUGCCAUUUUAUGGUACAACAAGGAAUUGUCUUAGGACAUAUCAUCUCCAAGAAUGACAUUGAGGUAGAUAAGGCAAAGGUGGAGCUAAUUGUUAAGUUGCCACCUUCCACAAAUGUUAAAGGAAUUAGGUAAUUCCUAGGACAUGUUGGGUUCUAUAGGAGGUUCAUUAAGGAUUUAUCAAAAAUCUCAAAGCCUCUUUGUGAACUCUUGGUAAAGGAUGCCAAGUUUGUGUGGGAUGCGAAGUGUCAGAAGAGUUUUGAGGAACUGAAGCAAUUCCUCACAACUGCACCAAUAGUGAGAGCCCCAAAUUGGAAAUUACCUUUUGAGGUAAUGUGUGAUGCAAGUGAUCUUGCUAUGGGGGCUGUCUUGGGGCAAAGAGAAGAUGGAAAGCCCUAUGUGAUUUAUUAUGCGAGCAAAACUUUGAACAAGGCUCAAAGAAACUACACAACUACUGAGAAGGAGUUGUUGGCAGUAGUUUUUGCCUUGGAUAAGUUUUGUGCCUAUUUGGUAGGGUCCUCUAUAGUGGUGUUCACUGACCAUUCCACUUUGAAGUACUUGCUAACCAAGCAAGAUGCCAAGGCAAGAUUGAUAAGAUGGAUCCUUUUGCUCCAAGAAUUCAAUCUCCAAAUCCGGGAUAAAAAGGGGGUAGAAAAUGUGGUAGCUGACCACUUGUCAAGACUUGUGAUAGCACAUGACUCACAUGGUCUACCUAUCAAUGAUGACUUCCCUGAGGAGUCUCUCAUGUCAAUAGAGGUAGCUCCAUGGUAUUCUCACAUUGCAAAUUUCUUGGUUUCUGGAGAAAUUCCGAGUGAGUGGAGUGCCCAAGACAAGAGGCAUUUCUUUGCUAAGAUCCAUGCCUAUUAUUGGGAGGAGCCUUUUCUCUUCAAAUAUUGUGCAGAUCAAAUCAUAAGGAAAUGUGUUCCUGAACAAGAGCAAUCAGGAAUUCUUUCCCAUUGCCAUGAUAGUGCAUGUGGAAGUCAUUUUGCCUCCGAGAAAAUAGCUAUGAAAGUGAUCCAAUCAGGUUUUUGGUGGCCCUCUCUUUUCAAGGAUGCCCACUCUAUGUGCAAGGGAUGUGAUCGGUGUCAAAGGCUUGGGAAGCUAACACGCCGAAAUAUGAUGCCCUUGAACCCCAUCUUGAUAGUGGAUGUUUUUUAUGUUUGGGGGAUAGACUUCAUGGGACCAUUUCCAAUGUCGUUUGGACAUUCCUACAUUUUGGUGGGAGUGGAUUAUGUCUCUAAGUGGGUAGAAGCAAUCCCAUGUAGGAGCAAUGAUCAUAAGGUGGUUCUUAAAUUCCUCAAGGAUAACAUCUUUGCAAGAUUUGGAGUGCCUAAGGCCAGUAUAAGUGAUGGAGGAACUCACUUUUGCAAUAAACCUUUUGAGACUCUUCUAGCCAAAUAUGGGGUUAAGCACAAGGUAGCUACACCUUAUCACCCUCAAACAAGUGGCUAAGUUGAGUUAGCCAACCAGGAGAUCAAGAAUAUAUUGAUGAAGGUGGUGAAUGUGAAUAGGAAGGAUUGGUCUACUAAGCUCCUGGAUUCCUUAUGGGCUUAUAGGACCGCUUACAAGACCAUUCUUGGAAUGUCUCCUUAUCGCCUUGUUUAUGGCAAAGCAUGUCAUCUUCCAGUGGAGGUUGAAUAUAAAGCAUGGUGGGCAAUCAAGAAGCUCAACAUGGAUUUGACAAGAGCCGGGUUGAAGAGAUGUUUGGAUUUGAAUGAAUUGAAGGAAAUGAGGAAUGAUGCUUACCUCAAUUCAAAAAUUGCAAAAGAGAGGUUGAAGAAAUAGCAUGAUCAGUUGGUAAAUCAAAAGAAUUUUGCCAAGGGACAAAGAGUCUUGCUUUAUGACUCUAAGCUUCAUCUUUUUCCGGGAAAAUUGAAAUCAAGGUAGACGGGUCCUUUCAUUGUUCAUGAUGUGCAACCAAAUGAAGUAGUGGAACUACUCAACUUCAAUAGCACUCGAACUUUCAAAGUGAAUGGGCAUCGUCUCAAGCCCUAUAUGGAAUCAUUUUCCCGAGACAAGGAGGAAUUCAUCCUCCUUGAUCCACCUCCAACAUGAAAAUACUUGGUUUAUGGUUGAACUUAGUCUCUUCAAAGACUAAAGAGUUCAUCCUCUUUUUGUUUUCUUUUAAGUUGAUUCUAGUUUAAUUUAGUGUUUUUCCAUGUUUUGAUUUUUAUUUUUGACUUUAAGGUCGUUCUAAUGUGUUUUGAAUUGGUUUUUUGUGUUAACAUUCAGGUAGGAAAGCUUGAAGAAUGAAGGCAUGGUGAAAACAAAGGGAAAACAGGGGAGAAAAAAACCAAACUCAGUAAUUUUCGCACAACACUUCCUGUUGUGCGAAAUUUUCACACAACACAUUCCUUGUGCGAAAACGCUUUUGUGCCAAUUUCCAAAAAACAUGCUCUCGGUCCCUUCCCAAAAUCCCUUGUGCGAAUUUCACAGGAAUGCGAACCUUGUGCGAACCUUGUGCGAACCUUGUGCGAAUUCAUUUUUGGGACAAAUUUUCAAAACCAUGCUCUCUGUCUUGGUACUCCACAGGAAUGCGAAAUUUUCGCACAACACAAGGUGUCGUGCAAAAUUUGCACUUCCUCUUUAAAGGUCGUGUUCUCCUCUUCCAAUGCUCAAUUUCUUCUUCAUUUCUCUCAACACCUCUCUUCCGAUCACCCAAUCCCUUCCUUAAGCCCUUUUUCUUCAUCAUUCCCCACUCUCAGCACCACCAUGGCGGCCCAUCUCCAUAACUCCACUCCAUAGCCGCGGCAUUCACUNNNNNNNNNNNNNNNNNNNNNNNNNNNNNNNNNNNNNNNNNNNNNNNNNNNNNNNNNNNNNNNNNNNNNNNNNNNNNNNNNNNNNNNNNNNNNNNNNNNNNNNNNNNNNNNNNNNNNNNNNNNNNNNNNNNNNNNNNNNNNNNNNNNNNNNNNNNNNNNNNNNNNNNNNNNNNNNNNNNNNNNNNNNNNNNNNNNNNNNNNNNNNNNNNNNNNNNNNNNNNNNNNNNNNNNNNNNNNNNNNNNNNNNNNNNNNNNNNNNNNNNNNNNNNNNNNNNNNNNNNNNNNNNNNNNNNNNNNNNNNNNNNNNNNNNNNNNNNNNNNNNNNNNNNNNNNNNNNNNNNNNNNNCGCGGCAUUCACUAUUCAUCACCGCCCACUCCUUCAAUUUUCAUCUCCUUCCACCAUAAAAAACCUUCCAAUUCUUCACUCAACACUCUAAAUCCAUUCCUCAACCAAUCCCAACCUUGCAUUUACCAAACCAAAGCCUCAAGCUAAGGAUUCAAGCCACGUUUUCUUCAAAGGAAACCCAUUGCCGCCGGGUAGAGGAGCUCCAAAUUUCAAAUUCUCUUCGUAAAAAAGCUCCAAUUUCCAAGCCUAACCACCAUGAAAAAUCUUUUUCCUACCUUAGCCAGCAUUUCCCACCCUCAAAAGCCAAAAAUUUUCACCAUUUGAACGAGCUUCAAAAUUGCAAAAGGGCGGGUGAAUAGUGCUUGUGCGAAAUUUUCGCACAACACCUAGUGUUGUGUGAAAUUCGCACAACACCCCCCUUGUGCGAAAAAUUCGCACAACACCCCCCCUUGUGCAAAUUUUUAGUUUCUCCAUCCGUACCCUCCCCAAUCCCAAGCCUCUAAGCCUCAUUUCAUUGCUUCAUCAUGCCUAAGACCCGAGGAGGACAUACCUCAGCUCCCUAGAGCAGUGAGAGAGCCGCCCCUGUGCGGGCCCCACUAGAUGCGCCGCCACAUUUAGCUGAUUCUACCCCUCAGAGCAGAUACCAUACGAGGAGAGCAUCUGCCACGCCUGUGGCCCAUACUCAGAUUCCACCUCGGGGUCCUCCUACAAAGAAAGCCAAGACUUCAGAGCCAAGGGAAGUCCCUCCUGCUCCAUCCACUUCAGCUCCCUCGGAGCCUGUACCAGAGGCAGCAUCAUCUGAUGCCCCACUUGCUGUUCCUCCUACCUCAGAGCUGCCCAUCACUAUCCCUACUACAGAGUACCGUGACUUGCUCGCUUCUUUCCAGACUCUGACCACUACUNNNNNNNNNNNNNNNNNNNNNNNNNNNNNNNNNNNNNNNNNNNNNNNNNNNNNNNNNNNNNNNNNNNNNNNNNNNNNNNNNNNNNNNNNNNNNNNNNNNNCUUUCCAGACUCUGACCACUACUCAGACGGCCAUUAUGGAGCGGAUGGACCACUUCCAGCUUCAGUAGGACCAGCAGACUCUCAUUCUCCGUGAGAUUCAGCAGCACCUCGGUCUUUUGCCACCAGCUCCACCUGUAGAGAUGCCUUCCUCAGUUCCAGCAGAGGACCCCUCCUAUCCACCAGAGAAGCCUACUACUUGAUCAUAUGAUCACUCAUCUCUCUUUUUGUAUUUAUAUUCUACGUUUUUGGAUGUCUUAUAUAUUUUGGACCACUUUUAUACUGGGAUUGGAUAUAUUCCAUGUUUAUCUUGUAUAUUGUACUCUCUCUUAGUUUAUAUAGACAUCUUUUUUUUUUAAUGUAUUUUAGCUAUUCUUUUUUAUUCCCUCUAAUCAUCACUCUUAUGAUUUUUCUUUUCUUUUGCAACAUGUGGUUUCUCCUGUUCAUUCAGAGUCCCUUACUAUCAGGAGGUAUCACUUCCUCCCUUUUAUUAUCACUUGUUUUUAGAACAUUGGAGACAAUGUUCAUCUUAGUUGGGGGGAGAGUUGAGGAAGUAAUUUGUUGAAUUUUGGUUAAGUUAUAUUGCUAACAAAUUUUUUGCAAACUCUCCUUGUUUUCUUAAAGAUAAAUUCUUAAAAAUAAAUAGGAGAAAUUAAAUUCUUAUCUUAUUGCCAUAGUCUCAGAGUUUGUAUUAUGCUUAUUAAAGUUGUUAAAUUGUUGAAGCUCCUUUUGAUUUCAAUCUUAAUUCUUCCACUCUAAUCUUUUCACACACUGAACACAUUAGAUUCCAGUUAUAAGAUGGAAAACUUUCUCACCUCCUAAACUUAAGAAAUUUUCGACUUGGUACCAUUGACCUCAUUCUAUUAGUGUUGGGACACCUUAUAAAAGGCCAAUGUGUCUUAUGAAAUUUUUUUUUUUUGCUUCACUUGCUUUGAAACCCGAGCAAGGUCCGAGGGGUAUAUGGUGAAAAUCUUUAAAACCUGGUGCCCUAAGCCUUCAAUGGUUGGGAGUCACCGACCUCACUGCUCGUUACAUGGGGUGGAUGAGUGGAGUAUAUAUUUAAAAAAAAAAAAAAAGAGGUGUGUUCUUAGCUUUCUAUAUAUGAGUUAGUGUUGCUAAGUUAGAGAAAACCUUAGUUGGGGGGAGAAUAUAGUUUGAACCACUAUAACUGGAAACUAAGCAUCUUNNNNNNNNNNNNNNNNNNNNNNNNNNNNNNNNNNNNNNNNNNNNNNNNNNNNNNNNNNNNNNNNNNNNNNNNNNNNNNNNNNNNNNNNNNNNNNNNNNNNAGGGACUAGCAAUGUGUCAGUUGGGGGGAGUGAUUACUACCCAAAAAGUGUUAUUUUACACCUUUAAUGCAUUAUGUUUAAGCACUUUUGUGUAGUAGUUCUCCAUCUUUAGUCCAAUUGGCAUGUUAAGGACCUAGAAAUGUCUUCUAAUCAUAUUUGUGGCUAGUUUUAGUGUUUUUACAGCUUUUUGGAUCAUUAAGACAAGCCAAGCAAAGGAGAGAAGCAAAGAGAAGCAAAGUGAAAAAAUCAUAGGACAGUAGCUUCAGUCUUCUUUCGCACUUUUGGAGCACUUUCUGAAGUCCAUUUUCUACAUGCUAUAUACCAUUUCAAAGCUCAGGAAGUCAAGAAUCCAACGCUUCAAACCGUGUAUGAUUUGGAGCUGAAAUGAGGAAGAUAUGGCCUUUGGAAGACAACUGCUCCAGGCUUGUGCGAAAUUUUCGCACAACACCUUCAAAAUUCGCACAGCCCAUGCGUGGUGCGAAUUUUCCUCUGUUUUUGCCAACUCCACUUUAGAUAUUUUCCUAUGUAUUUUUUGAUGUAAUUUCCUUUCUUAUCCUUGUAACUAACCAAUCACAAGCUUUUGCUUUUGUAAAGACUAUAUAAGGGGUGGAAAUCACCUCUUUGAAUAUAUGUGAUAUGUGUUACGUUUAACACUUAGAAAAAUAUACAGAGCUCUCUCGUUUCUCUUUUCUCUUUACUAUUUUAUUUUUCUUGGAAGCCAAACAACCUCUGAGGAUAUUUUCCCGAAAGAUGAGAGCCUAAACUUUUGGUUUCUUGGAGUGAAGGAAGCCAGGUGAAAAGUCCAGAUGAAAAGGUGGAAAGCUUCCGUGCAUUAAAUUCAGGUAGUUGGAGUUCAUAAAUGGCUUCUAAAUCCAAAGUUUUGCUUUAAAUCCCUUAGAAUCACUUUGAAUGGCCAAUACAUGGUAAGCUUCAGGUCUCUAUGGAUGCUUAUUACUAGAUCCAUAUCAGUCCAUUAGUUAUCAUGAACGAGCCACUGGAAAGUGAUUCAAGGUGAAGACCCAUAGUGUCUAAAGCCAUUAAUGGACCUUGACUACCAUUCCUAUUGACUUUUUAUGGAUUAAAUCUUCAUUGUCAAACCUAUACCGGUUCAGGAAAUAACUAUAGGUUAAAUCCCCAAUGCGAGGAGAAAAAUCCGGAAUUUUCCACUUUGCAUUCUGAACUUGAUCCUAGCAACCCUUAGCUCCGGGAGACUUUCUUUCUUCCAUUUUCACUUAGUUUAUGUUAGUUUAGUUUCAAACACUUUCAAAACAAAUUUUUAUUUUCUUUUAAACUUUAAGUUUUUGAUAAAGGAAAUCAUUAAAUUCAAUUUCUAAUCUUGAGUAUAUCACUGGUAGAAUGAAAACUCAUCCAAGAGUUCGACCCUAGAGCCACUAUACUAUAGUAGCUUUGCUACGCUAGUAUGAGGUCAUAGGUUUUAUAAAUGUUUUUGAUUAAAUGACCCAAGUGGAGUUUCACGCGAAUCAGAAAUUUAAUACCUAAGCACCUACAAUAUGUUAAACUCCACCUAUUCACCCUUAUAACGAGCAUUGAGGUCGGUGACUCUCAACUAAUAAAGGCUUAGGGCACCGGUUUUUAAAGACUUUCGCCAUAUACCCCUCGGACCUUGCUCGACUUUCAAGGCAAGCGAAACACUUUAUUCUUUUUUUUUCAAAGGCUUAUUGGCCUUUUAUCAGGUGUCUCAACACUAUUAAAACGAGGUCAAAGGUACCAAGUCUAAAUUUUCCUAAGUUCAGGUGGUAAGAUAGUUUUUCAUCUUAUAAACGAAACCUAAUGUGCAUAGUGUGUGGUAAGAUUAAAGUGGAAGAAAUAAGGUUGAAAUCAAUAAGAGUUUCUAUAAUUCAUCAACUUCAAUAAACAUAAUACGACUCUAAUAUUCAAGUAAAAAGGUAAGAACUCAAUUUCUCCCAUUUCAUUUUGAUAAUUUUUCUUUAAUAACCAUGGAGAGUAUAGUAAAAACUUUUAAAAUUAAACAAUUUUUUUUUAAAUUAAGCAAAAGUACUUAAUUAACAAAAUAAUUUAGCAUUAUUAACAAUACUUCCUUCUUUUACUCUCUCCCCAACCAAGAUCAACAUUGCCCUCAAUGUGGCAAGAACGAUUGUAAAUAAAGGGAGAAAGUGGUACCUCCUAAGUGACAUGGAGUCUGAGUCGUAUAGGAAAAACCACAUGAUUCAAAAAACAAAAGAUUAAUGAGUAAACAAGCCACCCUGGACCCUGAUGGUAGGAACAAUGCAGAUCCAUCCUGAAGCGUAGUGGCACGGGUUGGGAUAUAGGUCUAAGAGCCAACUGAGUCAACAAACCACCCUUCAUGAGCUUUUGGAAAACUCGACUCAAAGGCAUACCUAGCUGGGAGAAAUGUCAUGUCUGUCUCUAUUAAAGAGGAAUAACAGUCUGUGGGGCUCGGGGUCGAGGGUAUAAAGUAGGAGGUCUCUUUGAAACCUGUGCAACAAAAACAAGAUCUAGGGUCUGGUGUAGGUAUGUAGGAGCCAUGGGCCUGAGUAGUCUAUAUUGAACAUUGCACUAUGGGUAAUAGGCUCCUGAAGUCUGCCCAAAUGUUUGAUAACGCCUGGGAGGUCUCAAUCCUGUUGAACUAAUAUUACCCACAUCUUCUGGUCUCUAUCAUCCUGAGGGCUUCUUUCUUUUUGAGUCAGGAGGGGAAGACUCGAGCCACAAUCCUCUAGCAAUGCCCUCCUCUAUACCAUAUAAAGCCUGUACCAAGGAUCCAAAAUCCAUAUGAGGAAAUCUCAUCAAAUGUCUGGCGAAUCUGAGCUGUAAACUCCUUAAAAUCACAUUAAUAUGGUCCCUCUUUGAAGGACGAUCAACAAUCUGAGUGAUUUUCUCCCUCCAUCGAGAGAUAAACAAAGUCACUGACUCCUCUAGUCCCUAUCUUAAGACCUCUAGCUCUCUCCUCGAGACGUCAAUGACAACAUUAAAUGCAAACUGUCUCAAAAACUCUUGGGCCAAAUCAUCGCAAUUCCUACGAUGUGAGGCAUUUAAGGAAGCAAACCAACGCUAUGCUGCACUACUCAACGACAAGGGGAAAAGCAUGAUCAAGUGGGCCUCAUCCAACCCAUGGGCCCUCAUCACACUACUGUAUAACCUCAAAUGAAUCUUAAGGCAACCUAUGCCCAUAUACCUCUCAAUAUCUGACAUCCUGAACUGGGCCAAUAAACUGGCCACUGGUGCUCCAUCAAAAUCAUCCCAAUUGAUAGCUCCAUUUGAAACCCUCAUCCGUCUCAUUCUCUACUCGAAUCUAUCCAUAUGAGCAUGUGCAUCCUCUAAGAUUGGAACGGGUGCUACGACAGGAAGUGGUGUAGCAUCAAUCUGACUAUGUAAAACAUACGAUGCAGGGUGUGGAACCGACUAAUUGAGUGGAGGAGGUGGUGAUGUUGUAGAGUCAUAUUGUGCACUAUCCCGAGGCGGGGCCUACUGCCCAUCUAUUCUCUGGGAGAGGCCGGCUAUAACCUCCUAAAUCAAAGCCAUGGUCGCGACAAACUGGGCAAUAGUGACUACCUGUGAGUCCAUAUCUCUCUGAUCUAGUCUUUAGUUUGGCUGAUCUGAUGCUCUAGUCAACCUGCCUCUAACUCUAGUCCAUGAAGGCGAAUUCAGAUUAGGCAUAAAAAUACUCCUAUAAACACAGAAACACUGGAUGAGACGCUAUACAGGAGUAGCUCUGUAGGAAUCGACUUAAAGGUAAUCAAGCAUACAACCCAUGUAUGCUGAAACUGAUACUCGUAUCUGAUCAUACCAGAAUGAGACUAUGGAGAGGGUAACCGAACCCAAUUGUAACCAAGGCAGCUCUGAAGGUCCAUAGAUGCACCCACGUGUGGGAAUGAAAUCUUAAUUAGGUUUAAGCUAACCUAAAAGGUUGAUGUGGCUCUAUAAGAUAAAAUCAGUGGGUUAAAGGAUCCCUAACAAAAGCGAUCGUACCCUCCGAUGAUACACAACCCUUUGCACACCUCCAAGGAGAGGGGAUGCUUCCAUGCAAGGUGGUCAUCACCUCCACACAUGCAUUUCCUCGCAUUCCCAGGGGGUUUCUUAAUGGUAAAGGCUCUCUUAUAUCUCAACACUCAAGGAAAAUCUAAAGUGCAAAGUGAAGGAUGUGGGUGCAUCAGAAAAACCUAAGAUCUAAAGUGGGAUAGUGAACAAAGACAAGAAAUCAUACAAUCAUGCAAAAGAAAGGGUUGUCAUACAAUAAGGAGUUAUUUGAAACAGAUAAGUUUCAUACAAUCAAGGUCCUAUCUAACAUAUGUGAAAGUGAAUCAUGCUGAAGUGAGCAAAGCAAUCAAGUGAUCCUUCAAGGCAAUCAAACAUGUUAGAUAGCAAACCAAGCAAGCAAACAAACUAAAUCGUCUUGUUUAAAAAAAGGAGGUACCCUCUAAUCGACUAAUUAAAUGCCACAUUUUCCUCAACUAAUGUUCAAGCUUGAUCCUCAAAAUCCCCAAUGGAGUCAGCAAUUUGUGGACCCGCAUUUUUCACGUGCACCCCUACUCUAUUGUGAGACUCGCUUUUAUUGGUGAAAAUUUGAUUUUGGAAAAGUUAGAGUCGCCACUUAUUUUAUUUUAUUUUAAAGGGAAAUUAAAAUAAGAAAUAAAACCCUAGAAAAAAAUAACUCCAUAGUUUUUGGAAAAGUGUGUCUUUGGAAAACCCGAGUCUAGGUCCAGGAAUCAGGUUACCUAUUGGGAAGGUAUCUCUAAAAGGUAGUACCCCUCUAACCCCUACAAAGGUCUCUACUAACUAAGUUGAGGGAAAUGUGGCAAUUAAUUGAUUAAUUGAGGAUACCUAGGUAGACUAAGGUGAUGUAAAAAAAAAUAGCAUGCCAAACAAGAUCAAAUCACAAUAAAGAAGAGUUAGGAUGCGUACCCGAACCACUUCUUAAGCGCUUUCAUAAAACAUCAGAGUUAGUAUAAAAAUAUAACACACGACAUGUAUUUAAUCAUAGCAAAUCAAGCACACAUCUAAGCACUUAAGGAUCAUAUCAAGCAUAAAUAAGGCUCACGACAACAUGCAUGUUCAUGGAAUUCUGAAAAGAAAUGAUAGAGAGCGUACCUUGAUAACAUGCAUAAUUUAUAAGAUUCCUCCAAAAAUGUUAGAAUGGUUAGGAAAAGUAUAAAUUAUAUAACAUCUCUAUUAUGUCUAAUAUACAGUACCAAAUCCAAAAGUGAACCAAGGUAAGUCAAAUGACUCCAAAAGCAGAUAACAAAUUCAAGCAAGUACUGAGUCAUCAACAUGCAUAUAGUAAAGAUAGCAUCACAAAACAAUUGCUAAAAAAAUGUCUUGGAGUGGAAUUUAAUCACAAAAAAUUUCAAGAAGCUACUCCUACGUAUCUAGAACAAGAUACCAAAAUCCAAACACUCAUUUGAAUGACAAAUUGCAGCAAAGACACCAAAAAGUUCCAAAAGGUCCAGAUUAGGUAAAAAAAAUAGUGACAUGCAUAAAUGAUUUUUUUUAAAAAAAUAAUAAGACAUCACAUAAAUCCGUACAAAAAAUCACAUACAUCGUUCAAGGUGUCUAUAUCAAAAGGAAAACAAAUUUAGGGUUGGGUAGUACUCUAAAAUAUUUUUAAAACGCUCCAACGUAAUUAGAUGUCCAGAUUCCAUCAUGCACAGUAGGUGUCUAAGAUCAAUUUCAAGAAGCCUAGAAUUGAGGAAAAAUAUUGGAUCAAAUUUAAAAAUCGUCUGGUAUUUUAAUUUUGCAAAAAGAUCUCGGGUGUCUAGAUCUGGGUGAAAACAAAGUCCCCUUAAAAACUCGUUUAUAUCUUUUAUUCCAGAAUGACUUUCUAACUCAAACGAAACUUUAAAUUUCAAGUUCAAGAAGUGAGGAAAGUCAUACAAGAUUUGGAAAUUUUUUUAAAAACAUUCCAAAGUUGCUAAAACAAAUUUUAAAUCUAAAGGGUCAGUGGCUGAGUGAAAACUGGUAGCAAGGAAGAGUUUUAAAAAAUUUUCUUAUGUAGGAAAUUCACCAAUUCCCCAAUUGGCAUACAAAAGUCUAGCCUAGAAUCAUCCCAUUUAUUUGGGACCACAAACUUUGAUUCGUGUUUUAUUCAAAACUAAAAUUUUCAUUGAAAACCGAGAAAGAUGCAAACUAAUCAAAAAAUGGUUGCAUAUUAUUUUAAGAAAAUGAGAUUUGGAUUAUAAGGACUCUAAAUGGAUUUUUUUUUUUUAAAUAGAUUUUUAUGAGGAACAUUUUGAGAAAUGUAUUUUAUUUUAUUUUAAAAUAAAAUAAUUUGAAAAAAAAACAGAACAUAAUAAAAAAAAAUACCAAGCAAAACAAAAGAAAAAACAAAAUCAUAAAAUGAUUAUUUUUUUACAACCGAGCAAACUAAAAUAGUAAGAAUGGAGGCCAAUCUUCACUAUUUUCUGAUGGCCUCCAAAAAGUAAAUUUUACCAGAGACUACUAAAGCAAUAAACUGUUCAAACUUAAAUCAAUUAAAUUAAUGACUAAUAUUCAAGGAACAUAUCAAUUAAGAGUAAUAAUCACGAAUUAACACGUGAUCGAUUAAACACACAAACGCAUCUAGAUUGAUUAAAAUAGACCAAAUUAAAUCAGGGCAAACAUGAAUUUUCAAUCAUAGAAUUAAUUUUAUUAGUGAGCUAAUAUUAUAGAAAAUACCUAACUGAAUAGAUGAGUGAAGUUAAACCAGCGUAAACUAAACACAAACACCUUCUAAAUGUGGAAUUGAUUUUAUUAAUAACUUAGAAUUAUAAAAAAAUACCUAAAAUAAUUAAAAUGAAUCAAAUGAAAUGAAAGCAAGCUAAAACAAAAUAUGAAUUCAUAGAAUCAGUUUCCUAAAUAAAUUUACAUUAUUAAAUUGAAAUCUAAGCUCAAAAUGAAUUAAACACUAAUUACGACAAAUUUAAGAAUCAAAUAUUUAACAAAUAAGAUCAAUUAUUUCAACAAACUAAAAUUUUACUUUAACCAAAAAUUAAAUUAUAAAACUACCCAAAACAAAUUUUAUAACUAAAUUUCUAACCUAUAAAAUCAAACUCAUUAACAAAUGGAUAAGUAGAUAACACAUAAAUGAAUAAAUAUGACUAAAACGAAAUAUGAACUCACGGAAUUAAUUUUUUUUAACUAAACUUACAUUACUAAAAUAAAAUUUAAGCUUAACAAACGUUUUUAACACUAAUUAAGGCAAGUCUAAAAUCUAAUAUUUAACACAUAAAAUCAAUCAUUUCAACAAACUAAAAUUUUACUUAAACCUAAAGCCGAUUCAAACUACCUACAACAUAUUUUUUUUAAAAAAAAUUGAAUUUUUAACCCAUAGGAUCAGUCUUAUUAAUAAAUAAGAAAUAAAUAAAUGAAUUACAAAUCAUUAAAUUAGUAGCAAAUAAAUACAUAAACAACUAAUAAUUAAAUGAAUCAAAACUAAAUUAAAUAAAGAUCAAACUAUAUUUUUUCUCAAAGUAAAACUACAUAAAAUUUUAUUUUCUGAAUUUAAUAUAAUAAAUCAAAACUAACCUUAAACACAAUUCUAAUCUUUAGUGUAAUAAAUCAAAAAUUAAACAAGAGUGAGAUUCAUGCUGCCAUGUUAAAACAAAUACAUGUUGGAGCUAACAAUAUAAGUUAAAUCACUCACCCAAUAUAAUAAUCACACUUGAAAAAUAAACCAAAACUUUAAAUUCUACUGAAAACCUAUAUAUAUAUAUAACUUACCUAGUCGGCUUACCAAAACAACUUGGUGACGUGUAACUGUUUUCUCUUCUCCGAUGAUGCUCUAGAACAAUGGUGUACUGGUUGAUGGAGUUUUGGUUCUUCAGCCAAUACUAUUCUUCCCUAUCAGCAGAUAAAUAGUACAGAACUCGUCUCAAGGAACGGUAAGUAUAAAUUUAAGAACUCCAUGCAAUUGGUUUUCAACUAUUCUGAUAGCCAUUGGAAUACGGAUAUUGUGUUCCAGAAGUUGGAUGAACAUGGAAAUGUGUGGUAAGAGAAUGGAGAAAAGCAAAUUCUUUCGAAUCUUAGUGUGGCCUGGUUGCAUAGAUCGACCCUUGACGAUGAUGGGAAUUUGAGAGUUUACCAUUUUCAGGAAGGCAUGGAUGGGUGGGCUGUUGUUCGACUGGUUCUCGGUUUUCGAUCAAAUGAAGAUUCAGAAUACUAAUGCGACAGGAAAAUUCAGAUGACACAAACACCAACUCCAGCUUGACUACGUCAACUUCAGCGACAGGGUCGACCAAAACAAUCUGGGUGUUCAGGUUGUUACCAUCGGUGAGUCCAAAUGUCGCAUUCCUUCUUUUGCUUCGAAAUCCUCCCGUUCUUCCCUCUCUUCUGAUGCGUGCUGAAAGUGUAUCAAGAAUGGUGCGGCUGGUUUAUGGUUCCCUUCCCAAAGACGUCAAUUUCUCUAAAAAUAAAAAAUCCAACCUUCAUCCAUGAAUCCACCCUCCAACCUUUUUUCGAUGAUUUCCUCCAUAAAGUUGGAGAUCUCUUCUUUACUCUUUGUGUAUGGCAGUCUCUCCCUCUCCUCUCCAGAAUGCUGGAUCCUGUUCCACGUGCUCUUUCUUCUUCUUCUUUUUUUCUUUAUUUUAAUCUCUUCUCAAUCACCCCUCAGCUCCUCUCUCCAGCCACGGUAAUAGAAGGAACAGUAGAAACAAUCGUCCUUUCUCUUUUCAGAUCACCCUCAAUCUUUUUCAGUAAUCCAUCAGACCUCCCCUUAAUAGUGCGUUUUUUUUCUUUUUUUCUUAAUCUUUUCUCCAUCACUUAGUCAGCUUCUCUACAACCACGGUGAUGGAAAAAACGGCAGAAAAAGGCUUUCUUCUCCUCUUCCAAUCACCCUCCAUCCCCUCCAAUUUUCUUUUUUUUUCUUUGCUUUUCCUUUUCUCUUUUCCUCUCUCUCCAAUCCACUGACUGCCUCCAUCUUUCCUUUCUAAUGGUGUUUUUCUUUUUUCUUUUACGGAACACGUGGGAUCCAUGCAAAACAAAUAAUAAAAAAAUUAAAAAUAAAAAUACCAAUAAAAGAAAACUAAGGGUUACAAUAAUAAUAAAAAAACGUGUAAUUAAGAAUUAAAAAUCCAAAAUAUGCAAUUUUAAACAAAAUUAAAAAAUAUAGAUCACAUGCAAAACUAAAAUGAAUUAUCCACUCAAGUAACUUUAUAUCAAAAUAAACUAAUAAAUAGAUAAAUAAAAACAAAAUGAAUAUGAUUAUUAAGCUCAUGCAAUUUCCUAAAAAUAAAUAAAUAAAUGAAUAAAACUAAUGAAUAGAGAAAGAUAAAAAUAAAAACAAAAAACAAAAAACAAAAUCAAGCAUAUGCAAGCCAUACGAGCUAUGCAACCAUGCAAGCCAUACGAGCUAUGCAACCAUGCAAGCCAUGCAAACCAUGCAUCCAUGCAAAAAAUGACCUAAGUGGGCCUAAGGUGCCUAAAUGGGCCUAUGGUGCAUAAGUGGGCAUAUGGUGCCUAAGUGGGCUUAAGGUGGUGCCUAACGAGCCAAGCGUGCAUAAAUGGGCGUAGGGUGUCUAAGUAGGCCUAGGGUGGUGCUUAAGAGGCCAAGUGUGACUAAAUGGACCUAGGGUGCCUAAAUGGGCCUAAUGUACCUAAAUGGGCCUAGUUGGUGCCUAAUGGGUCAUGUGUAUCUAAGUUGGCCUAAAGUGGUGCCUAAUGGGUCUAUGGUGCCUAAGCGGGCCUUAGGUGCCUAAGUAGGCCUAUAGUACCUAAUGGGCCUAAGGUGCCUAAGCGGGCCUAAGGUGCAUAAGUGGGCUUAUGGUGCAUAAGUGGGCCUAUGGUGCCUAAGUGGGCCUAAGUGGACCUAUGGUGCAUAAGUGAGCCUAAUGGUGCCUAAGUGGGUCUAAGGUGCUUAAGUGGGCCUAUGGUGCAUAAGUGGGCCUAUGGUGCAUAAGUGGGCCUAUGGUGCAUAAGUGGGCCUAUGGUGCCUAAAUGGGCUUAAGGUGCCUAAGUGGACUUAUGGCGCCUAAGUGAACCUAAUGGUGCAUAAGUGGGCUUAUGGUUCCCAAAUGGGCUUAAGUCUAAACUAGGGUUGCCAAGAGUCACAAUGGAGUUAAAUAAAUCCCUCAACCAAAGUCCCCAAGGUGGCUUAGAAAAGAUAGGCUACACAAGUAGUAAUGGGCCAUCAGGGAAUUGUUGUAAAAUAUGGAACAAAUACCUAAUAGGACAUGUGCUAAGAGGACAAAAUGGAGGGUUUACAGUAACAUGAUCUCACAUCAUUAGGAGAGUUGAGAAUUUCAUCAUGCUCAAAAAAAAAAUUCCUCUAAGGGAAUGGUUUAUCAUCCUUGCUGUCGCAUUUUGUACUUAGUGAUUGUGAGUGGAAUACUUUUAUUAUUGACUUAUCUAUUUUUUAAUUCCUCAUUGAUUAACAUUUGACUAGGAAAUUUGGCUUUAGACUGCAACUAUAGGCUCUGAAUGCUAACAUCUUACUAAAGGAUUCAUCUAUAUGCAUCCAAAAACUCUGGAAUCAUGGAAUGUGCUCUUAGCUUUGUCCUUAUUGGUUAAAGGAAGUAUUUCCUGCCAUACUUCAAUUGUAAGUUGUGAUAGAAAACAAUUUUCAAAAUACUGAUUUUACCUUUUGGUAAUGAUGGAAUUUAUGUUGUACAUGCAGAUGAAAGAAAAAUUUCUUACCUUUGGGGCAACUUAUUAGUAGGUGCAAAGGUAAAUAUCCUAAACAUGAAAUUUCUAUUUAAUGAAAGCGGAAUUUCUUACCUUUGGUGCUCCAUUCUUUUUUAAUUUUGGUACAUGUGAUUCUAAUUUCAUGUCUAAAAGUUUUUGUUAAUCACCUCUUGCACUAUUCUAAGAAGGUUUUGAGGUCAUGUAUUACAUAUAAAGUCUCAUCAAUUAAGAAAAAAAAAAAGAUGAUAUGAGUUUUCUCCCAUUUUCAUAUAGUAUGGGCGAGUGGUGUUACCAAAGGUUUGAGGUCCUUAAGGAGUUAGAAACUUUAUCAAUCAAAUCUUUAAUAAAUGAUAAGAGAAAUAAAAUUAGAUAGUAGAGAGAAGAAAAAACUUCAAAUCUAGAACAAGCCUUUGUUUUAUGAUUUCCAUGUUUCAAAUUGAGCUUUUAAUUUGGUAUCUCAAUCUUUAGUUCUACCUAGUGCUUAUUUUUUAUGAUCUAAAUAGUUGAGCUUUAAUGUUAUUCUACUGAAGAUAUGAGUCUUCACUUUUACCUUGUCUCAACAGUUCUUGCAUUUCUAAGCAUCAUGUGUCAUUCUUUUGAAGGUUAUUCAAUUUUCAGACUCCUACUUUACUCAAAUUUUCUUAUGGGAUUCAAUAAAUUGUCAUAAUUGUAGGAUAUGGGAUGGGAUUGAGAAAUAGGAACUGAUGUUAUCUACUCUUUGGAGAGAGUGUGGAUGAAUAAAAUGUGAUUCGAUUAUGUGUAAAAAUAUGUUUUAUAUGUAUUUUAUCUUUUGAUUGAGCUUUUGGGAUGUUUUCUUUUCAUAAUAAGGUUAAAGUUUCAAUAUUUUCUCUUGUAGUUCACACUUCAAAUGAAUAUUUGUAAGUUUGAUAUUGUUGUAAGCACUAGUCUUGUAGAUUCUUUUUUUUUUUUGAUGCUUGUGACAAUUUUUAUCUCAAGAAUAAAAUGAAUUCAUAUUAUUAUUCAUCACAUGUUCUUUCUUUGAAAUCAAAAUAGGGAUUCAUCUUGUGAAAUACUCUUGGGAGUGAAAAAAAACCCUUCUUGGGAGCCCUAGAAACUCUUGCAUUCUUGGAAUGAACUUAAAAUUUCAAUCUAUAAUGAGGUAAGAACAAAGGAUUUGUAUUAUUUAGUGGCUUGAUUUGGACAAUAUAUUGCCUGUGUGUAGACCCCCAUUUUGGGGAGACAUCUCUACAGCCCGAUUAUGACAAGUGUCAUCGUCUGGGAUGACCACGUGUCACUCCAGGACUGGUUGAUAGGGUAUCAAGUUAGUGGUUUUGAUGGCCAAUGGAAGCUUGACACGUGGAGAUUUCUUUCAGCAGAAAAAGCUGAAAAUCGUGAAGGUUGGCAGCUGCAGGGUAGUGGGGAAGAGGCUUGGCCGUUAGAGAUUUUUUGGAACUGAAAGAGAGAACGGGACAGUGAGAGAGAAAAGUUUUUUUGGGGGGAGUUUAGAGAGAUUCUAGAGGAGCAGGCUGGUUACUGAAGGACGAGAGAGAGAAAAACAGGGGGAUUAGAGGAGGAAGGGAGAGAGUUUGAGGGUGAGUUUCUGGCUUAGAGGAGAGGCUACCGGAGGAGAGAACGGGGAGCAGGCCAGCUGCAGAGUAGAGGUUUUUGGCUGCCGUUUUUCAGAGACCUUGAGAGUUGAGGGAGGGAAACUAAGAAAAACAGAACAUGUUUCUGGAGAGAGGGUGCUAAUUUUGCAGUGAGGCAGCUGCAUUGAGGAGAAGAGCAUGGAUCUGAGGAGAGGAAGAACAUACUAAGAAGAGGAAACUUUCAGGUUUGGUUACUCUGCUUUUUCUUUAUAUGUUCAUUCUUCAUCUUUUUAUAUAUAUAUAUAUAUAUAUUUCGUCCUCCAUGAUUUUCAUCUUGUUUAUUGGAUUGCCUUUGGUUUGGCGAUUAUGGCCUUGAUAUUUGAAAGAUUUUGAGGCACAUUAUUCCCUUUUCUGAUGAACUUUUCUUUCUCACCAUAAUAUAUUUGUUGUCGGGUCCAUGGAUAAAAUAUUGAAAUGGAUUCAACAUGUUGGUUAAAAGACUUGUUUUCAAUUCUUGUUGCUAUCCUCUCGAUCCUCUGUUUUUCCCUGCAUAUAUGCUCCCGGCUAUGAAAUUAUGAAAAACUGGAUUGAAGAUGGGUCUGGCAGUUCAUGGUCCGCAGGGUUGAUGAGACUAUUGCAGUAUAGAAUAGCAGUUUUAUGGGGGAUGAAUAAAAGCUUUGUGGAUGAAAUGAGAUAUAAAUCAAGGGAAACUGAAACAGACCUGGGUCUCUCUCUUCACUCUGUUUUUAUCCUCAGAUUUAGAGAAGUAUGGAGACUUAGCAACUAGCAGAUCUCAAUCUUAAGAAGGCAUCCCAACUUGGAGAAAUGGAGAGUGAAGGUGACCUGGGAAGAAGUCUGGAUCUAGUAUGCAUAUCUAAGCGUACUCCGAAUCGAUGUAGAGGAAAUAUUUCUUAAGGGAAGGCAUCUAAAAAUUGGUGAGAAAUACCGUCUGGGUUUAUUCCAGCUUUGAUGCAGAAAAUGAUCCUAUAAGGAGGUGAAAUGCAGAGGAGGGUUCAGCAUGAGAUGCGGCAAUGCAGUCCCGUUUGUAAUCGGGGGGCCCACAUGUAUAAUUGUUAUUUGCAUGGUCACUUUUUCUCACCACUCUUUUAACCACUGUACCCAUGUACUAAUCCAAUGCUUUACAUGCCCGCUGCCCACUCCCUCAUCCCUAUACUUCACCAUACCCAUUCAUUGCCUAUGUGUAUCAACUAUCCAUUUCUCUCAUUCUUUCUCUCUCUAUCCCACCAUGCAACCCAUUGCUUCAUACCCACAUCCACUCAUCCUACACCCGCGGCUAAAGCUUAUACCCAUAUCCCAUACCUUUAUGCAUGAACUCACUUAACUCCACUCUUGAACUCCUUUCUCUCUUCAUUAUUGUGCACCACUCGUCAUCUCUCAUGCCCUUCCCCCAAACCCAUUGCUUACUCCCUAUUCACGGACAUGAAAGUCAUCAUGCAUGAACAUUUCUAGGGGAUACCGAGUAGCUCAUCAAGAGGCAGUGCCAAUGCCAGAAUUCAGUCGAUCAAGCAGUCAUCACCCCAUAAUAUGAGAUACCAGUUCCCCACCUGAAUCGUCAAGCUUCCUUGACUCGGAUACACAGUCAACAACCAUCACUGCCGUGGCGUAAACCUGCUGGAACGUGGCUGCAUGUUGCUCGAAAACGCCCACCACUAUCAUGCCCGUCUUAGUGCAUGCAUGACCUUCUUGAAAAACAUGGAAAUGUUUGGCGCGCCUAGAGCUUGACUGGCCACAUGUGAUGAGAUUUAAAAAGGGUAUUUUGUGUCAACAUAAUGAACCUUUUGAAAAAGCUGUACGUGAAGGGUUAGAAUUAUCAAUCCCAUUCAGUUUCAAAGGCAUCCAAUUCCCUGAAGACUCCUUUUGAAGUUGUGAUUGCUAGAUUCCCCAUUACCUCAUUCUUUCAUUUCUGUUUGGUUCGUCGGAAGUGGAAUCCAUUGCUCAUUAGUGCAGGGAUGUGGUGAUGCUAGCUGAAAUUCAAAUUGUCUACAUCAUUGACUGUCUUGGUUUCGACACGUCUGAUGAACUAGCAAGCUGUGUACAUAUGAUGGCCAUGCGCACAUGCAUGAUGCUGAGGGAAAGAGCCUGAUUGGAGCCAUGUCAGGUCAUGAAAACUGGGUGCUCUGAGAGGCUAUGACGCCUUUGACUGUGGCUGGUUCAUCAGCAUAACUGGAGGAUAGCACUCAUUCCAAUAUACGGGUGUUUCUUGCUCACCUCCAGUUUGAACACUUGUUGACCUUACUGUGUGCACUGGACCCGCAAGCACGACCUGUUUUGCAUGGCCACCUUAUGCAUGUAACCCAAGAGCCACGUGUCAUCUUCCCUUUUCUCCAAUCCUCUUUGAUUUUGAAAAAGAUUUUCCCAAACUUCAUUUUGUAAAUAAUUUCCAAAAUUCCGGUUUUUAAAUGACUUCAAGUCUCCAAAGAUUUCAUCCUUAAAGUUUUUAGGACUCAACAUCCCAUUUUCAAUCAAAUUUGGUUGUCAUUUUCUUUCCGGCAAGCCACUUUUGCAUUUUCUUUGUUUUUAAAAUAAGUAAGAAUUAAAUUCCAUAAUUCCAAGUGAUGGAGUUUAUGGAAUUGAUUCAUGCAAAAUAAAUGGGCUUUGGUGGGGGCCCUACAUGUGAGACUUCAUGAUUGAUUAACUGAUUGAUUGAUUUAAUUGUCAUGAAUGAUGGAUUUUAUUAUGCUCUGUGAUAUAUCUCAUGAUUGUUAUUAUGCAGUAACCUCCUCUCUUGAUAGCGCAUGGUGGCUCGUUGGUCAGGUACACACCUAUUCUCACUCUGGUCACUCUAUAUACAUGUAUUGAUUCCCAUAUGUGCAUGAUCAAUUCAGGUAUUCAUUGAUUUCUUUAUUAGAUGCCACGAUUGCUUCAUUUUAUUAGUAGAGACCCGUCUUUAGGGACUUAGAGGGGUGCUACGGUCUUUACCGUACCUUCCCGAUAAGUAACCUGACCCCCGAACCCGAUCCGGUUUUUCGUAGAUCACCUUUUCCAAAUAAGGAGUCACACUUAGGGUUUUUCUUUCUUAUUUUGUUUACCCUUUUAAAAAUAAAACAAAAAUAAGUGGCGACUCCAAGUCAUUUUCAAACAAUAAAUAAAAAUAAAAAUUUCAAAUAAAAUCGAGCUCGCCAUCGAGUGGAAAACACAUUGAGCCGAAAAUGCGGGGUCCACAAAAUGGCGACUCCGCUGGGGAUCAUUUAGAGGGUCAAGCUUGAACUUAGAGUGAAGCAAACGUGGCAUUCGAUUGGACGAUCAGUGGAUGCCCAUUUCUUGAUUGCACAUUGUGGAUAUUUGAUGCAUGCUCGGAUUUUAUAUCCACUUGAGACUUUGACACGUCGAUCGUGUUGAUUGAUUUAUAUUGAUUGAGGAUUCUGAUGCCAUGAUUUCUUCUGUGUUUAAUUGAUAUAUUCAUUUGAGACAUUGACAUGCUGGAUCAUUAUUGAUUGAUCUUAUUGCCUUGCUUAACACAUUGAUUCUGAUUUUGCCAUGAUUGUUCUGAUCACUUCACAUGCAUACACUCAUUAUUGUACAUCAUUUGACUCGCCAUGUUGAUCCACUUGUUGCUAUAUUAUUUUGAUCAUCCUUGAGCGUGUUGUCUUUGUAUCACUAUCCAUCUGAUUGUCGUAUUCUCGCUUAUCUUGUGUGUGUACAUUGAUGAUAUAUCUGAGAUUUGUUUGAUUGUGUGUCGCAUGACUGCCCUCCUUCUGCAUGACUGCGUGCCGCUUGUUUAUGUGGGUCGCAUAUCUAUCCCCUUAUCUCCCAUCCUCUAGUCUCGGUCAUUUCCUUCAUUACGGUUUCUCUGACUGAGAUAGAGGUUAAGAGUAGGGUCUAGCGAUGGGCUAUACCGACGUUUGGGAGCAUUCUGGAGGAGAGCGGCACAUUGUUGUCGAUUGGAGUCCGAUCAUUGAAGACCUGUAUAGCCUUGAGCUAGGUUCAUGGAUAUUUGUGCGACCAGUGUGUUUCAUCUUUUGCUUUAGCUUCUUAGGGUUUCGGAUGCACCCACACCGAUCAUUGUGCACUCUAGUUGACUAUUGAGCGUUGAGAGUUUGAGAGGAUUCACCAUAGGAAACCCCCUGGGAUGUCGAGGUAGUGCAUGUGUGGAGGUGAUGACCACCUUGCAUGGAAACACCCCGUCUCUUCUGAGGCGUGCAGAGGGUUGCGUACCGCUGGAGGGUACGAUCGCUUCUGUUAGGGAUCUUUUAAAAGUCCACCCAUAUCCAUUUAGAGCCACCUUGACCUCGUAGGUUGAGCCGUAGAUCCUUCUAUUAGGACUCCCUCCCUACACAUGGGUGCAUCUGAGGGCCUUUAGAGCCUCUUUAGUUACAGUUCGGAUCCAGUAUUCCCUCUUUUUAGUCUCCAGUUGAGAGUGCUCAGAGAUUGGUAUGAGUUUGAGUAUCGGUCGGAUCACCUUUUGUCUUGUAGCCUCAGAUUCUUGUUUUUCACUCGAUGAGUUUGUCAUGUUUUCUCCCUAAGGCUUUCAUUUCUCAUUUCUUGGCUCUACACACCCCUUCACUUUGUUAUCACUCACUUGAUGCUUCGAGAUAUGUUCAUCGAUCAUGAUCAUCUUGUUUUUACACUGUACAUCUAUCGCGGGCUCAGUACCUCAUUCUUUGUUGGAUCCUUGAUUCAAUUUUCAACUCGAUGCUCAUAUUAUCAUUACAGAAAGGUGAAAGACACAUUUUCACAUUCACACUUUUUUCGAGAGAGCCGCCUUGAUCACCUUAUUAUUUUCCUCUUAUGGAGAUCGAGUUCAAAGUUGAUUCAAGGAUAUGUGGUUAUAGAUGGAGUAUUGAUCUCGUGAUAGUGUGUUUUUCACACCUCUUUUAUCUCGGAUUAUUGAUGGAGAUUCUUUAGUCACAUUUGUAGCCAUCUCACAGUGGACACCUUUAUGACUCUAGAGUUUCUGUCAUAUUUCCAGUUAUAGAUUGCCAUCACAGGACCGUAUUUCAUAUGAUGUAUUGUGCUUUUGAUUUGAGACAUAUUUUCACUUAUGCAUCAUGAUCACUCUGGCCCGACCUAUCAUGGAGGAUAUUGAGUCUAUUGACCUAGGAUCAGGAGAUCGACCUAGGGAGUUUGAGGCUGUGACCCAUUUCACCUUCUGAUUAGAGUGGUACCAUACCCACAUCCAUACCUUAGUCUUUUCAGACUGGAUGACCUACCCGUUUUGAGCUUGACAUGACACCACCCCUUGGUACCGUUACACGACCUUACCAUUCCUAUUCACCUUCGUAUAUUACAGUACCCUUGCCUAUUUCCAUCAUUUCCUUGAUUUGACCAGGCAGAGUCCGAGAUGGUUAGACCUGAGAUGAGCUCUAGACGAUGAUAUAUGGAUCAUGAUGAGAGAGUGGUUUGACUACUUGACGAUGUUGUUGAGCCAUUGCACAUGACUUCAGAGAGUCGGGAUGAUUAGAGAUGAUGUUUUUUUUUAUUUAUGAGACGAUGGUGAGUGGAUUAUGAUGAUAGAGUGAGGUGAUUAUCCGAGGACGUUGAUGAUUAUCACAGAGCAUCAGUGGGAGCUUUCACACGAUUUCGGAGGGGUUGACAUGACUUUGUUGGAUGGAUGCCAGUUUUUAGUAUUGGUCAUGUGAGAUCUCGAAAGCACGAUGUUCGAGGUUGUGGUCAAAGGAUGGGUGGCCAUCAUUUCAUGAGCCUAUUUACUUUAUCACCCUCGCAUAUAGAGUUAUCCAUUGCUAGCCCUUUGAGCCUUGCACGAGCAUGUAGCCUUUUCUUUCAUCACCUCAUUUACCUAUUACACCGGGUUGGGGACCCUAUAGUGCUUGCAUGUUAUGAUUGGAUACGUCAUGAGUUUCGGACCUGACAUACAUAUUCGAGCCUCAUUCUUCAAUCUUCACUGUGAUAUUUUCCGCUUGGACAUCAUUUCAUCACUAUUUUCCGAUAUCACAUACCACCACUUGUGAUAUUCAUUCUCUGUCUUUUCCUUUCCUCAUUGAUUACUUGACAUUAUCCUUGUUUCACCUUGAGUGGUGGUUUUUCACACGUCACUGCAUGGAGGAUUGUCACAUUCUUUCCUAUCAUUCACCCCAUGGGCAGUGGUUCAGAGAUGUUAUUUUGAGAGGUUGUCUUGUUAGUGAGGAUUCAUGUUACAUUCGUAUGUGGAGAGGGUUUGAUCAUUUGGGUAUGUAUUUUCAUGGGAGUUCAUUCACUAUUGAUCAGCGUAUGCGCAAAAAAAAUAAAAAAUAAAAAAUAAAAAUAAAUAAAUAAUAAAUAAAUAAAUAAAUAAAUAAAAUAAAAUUGAUUGAUGAUAGCGCAUUAUUCAUUGUAUCAUUCUUCAUUAGGCAUGUGUAUGGACGUGCCAGGUUGUUUCAUUGAGUUCAUAUGAUAGAGAGAGCUCGUAUGGGAGCUUAUUUUUUAGAUUCAUCUUGAAGUAUAUUUUGGGUGAGAGUAUGAUUCGCCCAUUCGUUUUUUGUGAGAGAUGCGAGUGACCUUUCUUCAGUAUCUCUGGAUCCUUGCUCUAUCCAUCAUUCCGUCUAUUUCGGAUGUGACUACUUUCCAUGCUUUGAUGCAGGGUGACCAUCACUCACUUUUCUAUCUCUUCGCCUUCUUUCAUCUUUAUUUUAUCCCUCCGUUUCACUCCACUUCAUUUUAUCUCAUUCUUUUCUCAUUCUGUCUGAUGUUUGACAUGGGUUCAGCAUCCACACUUUAUUCUUGCUUAUUCGAUGUGUCCAUUCAUUUAUCAUCACUUUUCGUGUGGGGACCUCUAGGUCCGGGACUCAUGACGUUUUCUACGCAUUGCAUAUCAUGCACGAGGGGUAUGGGGAUUAUAUCAUUGAGAUUUUUGAGCCUAGUUUCCUUUCGUUUCUUUCACCCUAUUACCUUGGCCUACGUUACGUCCCGUGUCUGAAGACCACCCUGAGGCCAUUACUUUGUAUCGUGUUUGACAGCUCCCACGUGGGCAAUACUCGAGCUUGGUCGGAGAUUAUUUCUCAGAGCAAGAUGGAUGGGGAGUUGAGAUGAUGAUUUACACUGGGUCAUACCCCUCUUAUCAGUGAUGGAUUUUCAGAGGCGACAUUAUCUACAUUGGGGCAUACCCCGCUCAUCGAUGACGUUUUCUUUCAGGAUGGUGUCUUGCACAGAGGCAUAGUCAGUUCGCCUCUUCACUUGGAUUAUGAUGGAUUAGGAGUUGUUGGAUGACCUUACACUAGGGCAUAGCUAUUUCAGAGAACGCUUUUAUUGGAGAUACAGUCACUCUACUCGAUACUCUGCAUUGGGACACACUUUACUCAUCGAUGGUUGAUUUUUGAGAUGACGAUUUAUUUUGAGGUGUAGCCCUCUCUUUGGCGAUGGACUUUGAUUUAUCUUGGAGCAUAGUCACUUCAGUUGGUUUAUACUGGGGCAUAGCCACCGCAUUCACAUUCGUGGAGCCCGGGGAUUCUGAUUCAUAUGGAUUAUGUUGAGAUGUUUCCGUUUUGGCACCAGGAGUAGAGGUUGAUUGAUUUGUUGACUCGGAUACACUACUUUUCACUGGGGCAUAGCCAGGAUGGAGAGCAUUUUUCAUUGGAGCAUAGCCACCCUAUUUGGAUCCUUUACACUGGGGCAUGUCCAUCUUUUGGAGGGAGAUCAGAUUGGUUCUUGACAUUGGAGCACCUGACGAGUGAUAGGGAGAUCAUUGGAUUAUUUCAUGUUGUUCUCAUUGCAUACUGGGGCAUAGCCACCUUGUUGGAGGUUUUGACAUUGAGGCUUGACUUCCUGUUUGUGAUUGCUGCUUACGAUGGGUUAUGGAGUUAUCGACACCUCGGGUUUAGUCUUCUCGGCAUACUUGGAUGAUCUCGGAUAUCUCCCUACCUUUCAUUUCAUACUCAGACGUUUCACCAUGGAUACUUUCAUACCUUCUAUCAUACCGGAGCCUGACCAUCACAUUAUUUUAUCCUACACAUCUUACCAUGACACAUGACCUCACCCCUUUCUCGAUUAUGAGGAGAUGUAGAUCAGUCCUCGAUCACCCUGGUUGUGCUUUCAUAUAUCUUUUGGACUUUAGGUUCAACAUCUUCCAUGAUGGCAGGGCCUGACAGAUCGUUGACUUAUUAGUGAUGAUGCUUUCAUUUUGAUAGUUGGCAUGUUGAAUGUUGGUUUGCUUGCUCUUUUCAUUUUGAGCACUGGUCAUCAUUAUUGUUGUUAUUCAUCAGUUAGUUUUGUUUUGUCAGCAUGGUGUCAUGACACAUGGUCCUAUUUGGCUUUACCUAUUUGAGGUUGGACAUUUUCAUUACAUGAUGGAUGAGCAUAUUUCAGAGUACAGUAGUUUUGAGGCAUUUUGCAUCUCUGUCUGUUCAUCAUUACAUACUGGGGCAUACCCCAUCUCCGAGAGCAUUGGACCUUCAACAGGUUUCAUUCACUUUUGAUCUAGUUGUCAACCCCGAGAGUUGCAUACUGGGGCAUACCCUCCUUCUCCGAGAUCAUCGGACCUUUCACAGACUUCAUUAUCUUUCGACCUAGUUGUCGAUCCUUAUGAGUUGUCAUACUGGGGCAUAUCCCCUCCCGAGUUUACUUGCAUCAUUAUCUGGGUCAUCCUUUGGUUUUGGGUCACUUGAUCAGGUCAUUCAUCAUCUUGUCAUGUCAGUUUGAGUCGGGGCCGCACUUAUAUCGAUCGGCCAUCUUCCUAUCAGUUCAGUUCGAGUCGGGACCGCACCUAUAUCGAUCGGUCAUUAUCGUGUCAGUUUGAGUCGGGGCCGCACCUAUACGAUCGGUCAUCUCUUUGUCAUGACAGUUCGGUUUCUGGGACCGCACCUAUACGAUCGGUCAUUAUCGUGUCAGUUUGAGUCGGGGCCGCACCUAUACGAUCGGCCAUCUCUUUGUCAUGUCAAUUCAGUUUCCGGGACCGCACCUAUACGAUCGAUCAUUAUCGUGUCAGUUUUAGUCGGGGCCGCACCUAUACGAUCGACCAUCUCUUUGUCAUGACAGUUCGGUUUCUGGGACCGCACCUAUACGAUCGGUCAUUAUCAUGUCAGUUUGAGUCGGGGUCGCACCUAUACGAUCGGCCAUCUCCUUGUCAUGACAGUUUAGUUUCCGGGACCGCACCUAUACGAUCGGUCAUUAUCGUGUCAGUUUGAGUCGGGGCCGCACCUAUACGAUCGACCAUCUCUUUGUCAUGUCAGUUCAGUUUCCGGGACCGCACCUAUAUGAUCGGUCAUUAUCGUGUCUGUUUGAGUCGGGGCCGCACCUAUAUCGAUUGACCAUCUUCCUAUCAUGUCAGUUCAGUUUCUGGGACCGCACCUAUACGAUCGGUCAUUAUCGUGUCAGUUUGAGUCGGGACCGCACCUAUAUGAUCGGUCAUCUCCUUGUCAUGUCAGUUCAGUUUCUGAGACUGCACCUAUAUGAUCGGUCAUCCUCCUGUCAUGUCAGUUCAGUUUCUGGGACCGCACCUAUACGAUCGGUCAUCUCCUUGUCAUGUUAAUUCAAUUUCUGGGACCGCACCUAUACUAUCGGUCAUUAUCAUGUCAGUUUAGUUUCUAGGGCCGCACCUAUAUCAAUCGGCCAUCUUCUUAUCAGUUCAGUUUGAGUCGGGGCCGCACCCAUAUUGAUCGGCCAUUUCCCUAUCAGUUUAUGUUUAGUUUGAGUCGGGACCGCACCCAUAUAGAUCGGUCAUUCAUUCUUCCUAUCAGGUCAGUUCGGCGUCCAGGUCUUUGCUUCAGUAUGACAUUCAGGGUCACAUUUCCAUUUUGGGCGUUCAGAGUCAUUCUCCUCACCUGGUUACUUGAUGCUUAUCGCCUAUUCAUCAUUGCUCUUCUAGGCUUCCCUUUCCACUACACAUGACACAGUCUUUUGAGAUCCGUGAUGCAUAUUUCGAUCAUGUUGUUAGGCACCCUACACUUGGCAUUCUCGUAUAGUUCACAUAGGGCAGUCUCCUUCGGGCACAUUCUUUCUUGUACUCCAGGGUGGUUCGACCGUUACUCAUCUUUGACAUUGAUCUUCGAGUCACUUUUGGAGACGUCUUAGAGGGAGCUUGGAUCCUUAGUGUGGCUUCAGAGGCAUUUUGUGACAUUUUUCUCUCUUAGGAUUAGAGCCUCAUUGUUCAUUCUGUUGGCCUGAGUGAGUUCGGGUUCCACCGGUGUCCUUUUGGGGGUCUCCUUUGUUCUUCGGUAGAGUUCACUUCAUUGCACUCACUAUUCACACUUGCUUUUUACUUCAGUGUUCAUAUCUCUUACACUCGUGAACUCUACCGAAGAGGGGCAUAUUUGUAGACCCCCAUUUUGGGGAGACAUCUCUACAGCCCGAUUAUGACAAGUGUCAUCGUCUGGGAUGACCACGUGUCACUCCAGGACUGGUUGAUAGGGUAUCAAGUUAGUGGUUUUGAUGGCCAAUGGAAGCUUGACACAUGGAGAUUUCUUUCAGCAGAAAAAGCUGAAAACCGUGAAGGUUGGCAGCUGCAGGGUAAUGGGGAAGAGGCUUGGCCGUUAGAGAUUUUUUGGAACUGAAAGAGAGAACGGGACAAGGAGAGAGAAAAUUUUUUUUGGGGGGAGUUUAGAGAGAUUCUAGAGGAGCAGGCUGGUUACUGAAGGACGAGAGAGAGAAAAACAGGGGGAUCAGAGGAGGAAAGGGAGAGAGUUUGAGGGUGAGUUUCUGGCUUAGAGGAGAGGCUACCGGAGGAGAGAACGGGGAGCAGGCCAGCUGCAGAGUAGAGGUUUUUGGUUGCCGUUUUUCAGAGAGCUUGAGAGUUGAGGGAGGGAAGCUAAGAAAAACAGAGCAUGUUUCUGGAGAGAGGGUGCUGAUUUUGCAGUGAGGCAGUUGCAUUGAGGAGAAGAGCAUGGAUCUGAGGAGAGGAAAAACAUACUAAGAAGAGGAAACUUUCAGGUUUGGUUACUCUGCUUUUUCUUUAUAUGUUCAUUCUUCAUCUUUUUAUAUAUAUAUAUAUAUAUUUCGUCCUCCAUGAUUUUCAUCUUGUUUAUUGGAUUGCCUUUGGUUUGGCGAUUAUGGCCUUGAUAUUUGAAAGAUUUUGAGGCACAUUAUUCCCUUUUCUGAUGAACUUUUCUUUCUCACCAUAAUAUAUUUGUUGUCGGGUCCAUGGAUAAAAUAUUGAAAUGGAUUCAACAUGUUGGUUAAAAGACUUGUUUUCAAUUCUUGUUGUUAUCCUCUCGAUCCUCUGUUUUUCGCUGCAUAUAUGCUCCCGGCUAUGAAAUUAUGAAAAACUGGAUUGAAAAUGGGUCUGGCAGUUCAUGGUCCGCAGGGUUGAUGAGACUAUUGCAGUAUAGAAUAGCAGUUUUAUGGGGGAUGAAUGAAAGCUUUGUGGAUGAAAUGAGAUAUAAAUCAAGGGAAACUGAAACAGACCUGGGUCUCUCUCUUCACUCUGUUUUUAUCCUCAGAUUUAGAGAAGUAUGGAGACUUAGCAACUAGCAGAUCUCAAUCUUAAGAAGGCAUCCCAACUGGGAGAAAUGGAGAGUGAAGGUGACCUGGGAAGAAGUCUGGAUCUAGUAUGCAUAUCUAAGCGUACUCCGAAUCGAUGUAGAGGAAAUAUUUCUUAAGGGAAGGCAUCUAAAAAUUGGUGAGAAAUACCGUCUGGGUUUAUUCCAGCUUUGAUGCAGAAAAUGAUCCUAUAAGGAGGUGAAAUGCAGAGGAGGGUUCAACAUGAGAUGCGGUAAUGCAGUCCCGUUUGUAAUCGGGGGGCCCACAUGUAUAAUUUCUAUUUGCAUGGUCACUUUUUCUCACCACUCUUUUAACCACUGUACCCAUGUACUAAUCCAAUGCUUUACAUGCCCGCUGCCCACUCCCUCAUCCCUAUACUUUACCAUACCCAUUCAUUUCCUAUGUGUAUCAACUAUCCAUUUCUCUCAUUCUUUCUCUCUCUAUCCCACCAUGCAACCCAUUGCUUCAUACCCACAUCCACUCAUCCUACACCCGCGGCUGAAGCUUAUACCCAUAUCCCAUACCUUCAUGCAUGAACUCACUUAACUCCACUCUUGAACUCCUUUCUCUCUUCAUUAUUGUGCACCACUCGUCAUCUCUCAUGCACUUCCCCCAAACCCAUUGCUUACUCCCUAUUCACGGACAUGAAAGUCAUCAUGCAUGAACAUUUCUAGGGGAUACCGAGUAGCUCAUCAAGAGGCAGUGCCAAUGCCAGAAUUCAGUCGAUCAAGCAGUCAUCACCCCAUAAUCUGAGAUACCAGUUCCCCACCUGAAUCGUCAAGCUUCCUUGACCCGGAUACACAGUCAACAACCAUCACUGCCGUGGCGUAAACCUGCUGGAACGUGGCCACAUGUUGCUCGAAAACGCCCACCACUAUCAUGCCCGUCUUAGUGCAUGCAUGACCUUCUUGAGAAACAUGGAAAUGUUUGGCGUGCCUAGAGCUUGACUGGCCACAUGUGAUGAGAUUUAAAAAGGGUAUUUUGUGUCGACAUAAUGAACCUUUUGACAAAGCUGUACGUGAAGGGUUAGAAUUAUCAAUCCCAUUCAGUUUCAAAGGCGUCCAAUUCCCUGAAGACUCCUUUUGAAGUUGUGAUUGCUAGAUUCCCCAUUACCUCAUUCUUUCAUUUCUGUUUGGUUCGUCGGAAGUGGAAUCCAUUGCUCAUUGGUGCAGGGAUGUGGUGAUGCUGGCUGAAAUUCAAAUUGUCUACGUCAUUGACUGUCUUGGUUUCGACACGUUUAAUGAACUAGCAAGCUGUGUACAUAUGAUGGCCAUGCGCACAUGCAUGAUGCUGAGGGAAAGAGCCUAAUUGGAGCCAUGUCAAGUCAUGAAAACUGGGUGCUCUGAGAGGCUAUGACGCCUUUGACUGUGGCUGGUUCAUCAGCAUAACUGGAGGAUAGCACUCAUUCCAAUAUACGAGUGUUUCUUGCUCACCUCCAGUUUGAACACUUGUUGACCUUACUGUGUGCACUGGACCCGCAAGCACGACCUGUUUUGCAUGGCCACCUUAUGCAUGUAACCCAAGAGCCACGUGUCAUCUUCCCUUUUCUCCAAUCCUCUUUGAUUUUGAAAAAGAUUUUCCCAAACUUCAUUUUGUAAAUAAUUUCCAAAAUUCCGGUUUUUAAAUGACUUCAAGUCUCCAAAGAUUUCAUCCUUAAAGUUUUUAGGACUCAACAUCCCAUUUUCAAUCAAAUUUAGUUGUCAUUUUCUUUUCGGCAAGCCACUUUUGCAUUUUCUUUGUUUUUAAAAUAAGUAAGAAUUAAAUUCCAUAAUUCCAAGUGAUGGAGUUUAUGGAAUUGAUUCAUGCAAAAUAAAUGAGCUUUGGUGGGGGCCCUACAUGUGAGACUUCAUGAUUGAUUAACUGAUUGAUUGAUUUAAUUGUCAUGAAUGAUGGAUUUUAUUAAGCUCUGUGAUAUAUCUCGUGAUUGUUAUUAUGCAGUAACCUCCUCUCUUGAUAGCGCAUGGUGGCUCGUUGGUCAGGUACACACCUAUUCUCACUCUGGUCACUUUAUAUACAUGUAUUGAUUCCCAUAUGUGCAUGAUCAAUUCGGGUAUUCAUUGAUUUCUUUAUUAGAUGCCACGAUUGCUUCAUUUUAUUAGUAGAGACCCGUCUUUAGGGACUUAGAGGGGUGCUACGGUCUUUACCGUACCUUCCCGAUAAGUAACCUGACCCCCGAACCCAAUCCGGUUUUUCGUAGAUCACCUUUUCCAAAUAAGGAGUCACACUUAGGGUUUUUCUUUCUUAUUUUGUUUACCCUUUUAAAAAUAAUACAAAAAUAAGUGGCGACUCCAAGUCAUUUUCAAACAAUAAAUAAAAAUAAAAAUUUCAAAUAAAAUCGAGCUCGCCAUCGAGUGGAAAACGCAUUGAGCCGAAAAUGCGGGGUCCACACUAUGACAAGACAAAAUCUCAAUGCAAUCUUAAUUACACGUUUUUUCUUUCUUAAAUCAUUUGAACUUGGAAAUUCAACUUAUGGUUUUAUUUCCUAUGUCUUGAAUUUCAAGAUAUGAGACUUGUUUCAUUAGAAAAGAAAGGAGCUAAAACAUUUGAAAACCUAUGCCAUCAAUGGUUGUUGUUGUUUUAGUUGUGAAGGAAGUUUUCAUAUAUGGAGAGAGACCAAAAGAGGAUUCUCGAUAAGCUUGACACUUCUACCAUUCUCUUCCCCUGGCUACUAAAGUGAAACACCAAUGGGUUUUACUUGAUUUCUAGUUCCAUGAAUUUAUUGAACAUUUGUAAAAUGAAGCAAGACAAAAAUGCUCUCUUCCAUAGAAUUUGAAGUUAUUUGGAGAACAAAAAUUGAGUUGGGGCAUGCUAAUUAAUACUAUUUUAAUCACCUUCACCCAUAAUAUUAAUAUUUAAAUAUAAUUUAGAUAGAUAACCUUUUGGGGUUUUUCUCCCACGCUUCCUAAAAUAUGCAACACUUGAUAUUCACUCUCUCUAUCUUCUUUUUUUCCAUUGCUGCCAUGGACUAUGGAACACCCUUUUUUGAUUGCUCCAACACCCUACCUUUUUCCAACCAUGGAGAACUUUUAACUUNNNNNNNNNNNNNNNNNNNNNNNNNNNNNNNNNNNNNNNNNNNNNNNNNNNNNNNNNNNNNNNNNNNNNNNNNNNNNNNNNNNNNNNNNNNNNNNNNNNNUUUUUUUUUCAAGUAAACAAAAUUAAAACCCUUUUUUUCGAUUUUUUAUCUAAUUACUUAUGGUUUUAAAUACAUAUAUUUUAAAGAUGUAUGUUGAAACUAACUUUCAACUUAAUUGAAUGGAAACAUAAAAAUGAGAGGAAAAAAGAAUAAAAUAUAAAUUUGAAAUCUUUACUAUCAAACUUUUUCAAACAAAGAAUAUAUAGACAAAAGAAAUACAAGUUUUAAAAUAUUUUAUUAUAUUUUUUUAAAAAAAAUUUCAUUAAAAAAAACAAAACAUGUGUUUCUAUUUUCAAUUAUUUUAUUGGUUUUAAGAUUAAUAUGGUAUAAAUUAGUCGCAACAAUUAUUUAUGAAAUAUUUGGUCAUUAUUUGUAUUAUAUAUAAAAGGAUAAGGUGUAUGUUUUUUUAACUUUUGUCUUCUAAGAUAGCAAUUUUGAGGCUUGGGACAUACUAUCGAUUAUUCAUGAGGGCACUUGGUUGUGAAGUUGUCUAAGAUUCAAAUGCUCAGAGCUAUAUUUGAGAGUUUAAGGAUAUGAGAUGCUAAAACGUUUGCUGGAUUCAUUUUUAAAUUAAGUAACAUUUUCAACUCGAGGUUUAACCUUGGGGAAAAGAUUCUCUAUUCUAAGGUAGUUAUGAAAAUCCUUAAAUCUCUUCCUAAAAGGUUCAAACACAAGGUAAUUGUUAUAGAAGAAAACAAGAACAUUGACUCCAUGAGAGUUGAUGAAACUUAUAGAUUUUUACCAACUUAUGAGAUGUCUCUACUAUUUUCAAAAGUCUUAGGGUGCAACCUUCAAAGCUUUCAAUAACAAAGGGAAUGAGUUUGAACAUGUUUUUUUUUUUCUUCUUUUUUUUUUCUUCUAUAUUUAUGCUUUUGAUAUCAUACAUAUCUAGAUUUGCACAUGCUUAUUAAAAGACAUACAUGACUUUUUACUUACAUUGAAUUGACCAAUUUCUCUUUUCUUGGGGGAAUGUAUGAAGGAGAACACGGUGCCUUUAUCCUUAGGAGAAUAUUGAAUAAUAGUGAACAUGACUUUAAUAGUUGAGUAAUAGAUUACAAUACUUAGAGGAUUUAAGAACAUAGGUAGAAUAACAGUCAAGGAGUAAUUUUAAAAGGGAAAUGAGAAAUCUCCCAUAGCAGCCACAAGGGCUUGGACAAAUUUUGGUGUAAAGGUAAGAUUGUUUUAGGUGUGGGAAAUAAUGGAGAGAGUGUCUUGUGAAGGAUUUCUCCCAAACCAAAACCAGAGGACUUUUGGACAACAAAUUCGUCCUUAGUUUUUGCAAAACCACAAUGUCAUUUAACCUUUCCAUCACAAACCAAAGAAACUGACCAUUUAAUUUCCAAUAGAAAUCAGGAGUUCAUGGAAUUUAGUCAUGAUCCUAAUAGGAGUUAAUGUAAUUAAGGAGGUAUUAUUCAAGGACAUGUGUAUGUUAUAGAUAAAGUGAAGGAAGAUAACGCUCUUGCCUUUUUGGAAGAUGCUAUCCUAGCUUAUAAUUCUUGAGCAAAAGUUCCAUUUGAUUCUAGAACAACAACUCUUUCUUUUUUGCCUUCUUCAUGAAUGCACUAGAAUUAGUACUUAAGGGACAUAGAUCCUCUUUAUCUAUUAGUCCUCCUAUGGGACAAAACUUAGAGAGAAAAAAAAUAUGUAUAGUAUGUAAUAUGAUAAUUUUAAAUCAUGAAUUAAAAGGAGAUUUAGUUGUUUUAGAGAUGUUAGAAUAUGAUGUAAUUUUAGGCAUAAAUUUUUAUCCUCCCCACCAUGCUAUUAUUGACUAUUUUAAAAGAAAGGUAAAGAUUCAUAUCUUAGGAAGGGAUGUAGUUUAUUUCUUUGAUGAUAAGGGUGCACCAUUUCCUUGUCAUCCAUUAAAUUAGUAUUAUCAAUUAAGAUUAAAGAAAGAUGGUAAAUACUUUUUGACAAGUGUUUAAGUAGAGAUUAAAGGAAAAAAAGGAUUUGCAGUCCUUUCAUGUUAUUAAUUAAUUUAGUGAUGUUUUUUUUGUUUGAAGAAUUACUUGGAUUGUCUCCUAAGAGAGAAUGUAACUUUACCAUUGAAGUUUGUCCAAGUAUAUUUCCUACAUCAAUUACACCCUAGUUAAGUUACGAGAAUUGAAGAUUCAACUUCGAAAACUUCAAGAUAAGGAAUUCAUUAGAUGAAGUAAUUCUCCAUGGGGUGUUCCUAUACUAUUUUUUAAGAAGAAAGAUGGUUCUUUAAGUUGUGAAUUGAUUAUAAGAAAUUGAAUGAAGUCACCAUGAUGAAUAAAUACCUUUUGCCAAAGAUUGAUGAUUUGUUUAAUUAAUUAAAGGAUACUAGAUAUUUCUCCAAAACAAGGAAGAGAACAAUCACACUCCUCCCUGACCAUCACCAUCUUCUCCUUUGCCCUCCUUGAUCUCUUCUACCUUAUCCACUUCAUCCUCCAAUACAAACCUUUUGAUGACUCAAUUGAUUCCCUUACUUGAAAUCAAAGCGAGCUUGCUCUGUAAAGGAUGCAGUCAAUGUUACAGAGAUAGUAAAAGUCUUAAUACAUAUUGCAACAACAUCAACAAUUGAAGAUUUUAUAGUCAAAGCUUAGUUAUCUGUCUCUUGAGGCUUNNNNNNNNNNNNNNNNNNNNNNNNNNNNNNNNNNNNNNNNNNNNNNNNNNNNNNNNNNNNNNNNNNNNNNNNNNNNNNNNNNNNNNNNNNNNNNNNNNNNCACCUACUUGAAAGACUCACCUUCGCACAAAGAGCACCCUUGCAUUAAUUAUAAAAUGGAUAUGACCCCCUCAUUAGUCAAAUAAUCAUUAAACCUUAAAAGUUGUUGAAAAAACUAUUCAUUGUCCUAACAGUUAUGUCAUAAUCAUCUCAUAAUGAUUAAAGCCUUAAAGAUGAACAUAAUAGAAAUCAUUUAAAAUAAUACCUAACGAACAUCUCAUUUAUAGUCUUCCCAUAAUCAAUCUAUCAAAAGGUAACUACAAGAAGAAGACCAUAUUUUAGAAAAAGUACACACAGUGAACUCUAUCUAGCUCAUAUCUCUUAUUCCUACUUUAAUCCAUGACAAACUUGAUCAUCUCAAAAGGGUCGACCUAAGCAACCCAACCUUUUCUCAUCAUUCUCGCUCUCUCUCUCUUUCUCCCUAAUCUAUUGGAAAACUGUGAUGCCUAGUUCAACCAUAGUCGAAGGAGUGUGUAACAAAUUCCAAAUCUAAUGAGACUUAAUGCAUAGGAUUUGACAAUUUUUAAAAAUAAUUUAUAAUUUAAAACCAAUCUAAUUAAUACUAAAAAGUCAUGAAACUAAAAAAAUUGAUCCAAUUAAUACUAGAAAGUCUAACCAAAAUUGAUUCUAAAUGACUUUGUUUGUUUUCUCCUUUACAUCUAACUAUAAACCAAAAUUUAUAAGGUUUUUCAUUAAGCAAAUAUAAUCAAAAUCCAAUAAGACUCGAUGUCUUAGAUCUAUUAACAAGUGUUAAAGAAAAUUAGAACUCAAACACCAAAAAUUACUAUCAAAGAUUCUUGAACCAGAUUUGGUACUUAAAUGACUGUUAUUUCUCUUUUACACAUAAUGAAAUUUAUGUGAAUUUUCUAUGUAGAAAAAUGUACUUCAAAUUAAGCAAAACUUAAUACAUCAAAUUUAUUAAAAAGUUUAGUAGUUUUUUAAUAAAGAAAUAAAAAUUAAAUACUAAACUAAUUAAUAUUGGAAUUUGUGGACAAACUCUUUGACAUAGAACUAUAAUUCUCAAAAUUUUCUAACUGGACAAGUGAAUUCUCUUCCAAAUUAAACAAGACAUAAUAUAUUAAAAUUGUUAACAAGUUUAUUAAUUUUUUAAAAUAAAAUAAUAACGUAAUUAUUAUUAGAAAUUCAUAGCAUAAAACUAGUCCAAAAAAACUUUGUUGUUUCUCCUCCACAUAUAAUUAUAAUUUUAUGAAUUUUCUGGUUAGGCAAAGAAACUCUAAAUUAAGCAAAACUCAACAUAUUAGAUUUGUAGAUGAGUCUAGUAAUUUUUUAAAAUAAUUUAAAAUUCAAAAAUAGAAUCAAUAAAAAAAAAAAAAAAGAAGAAGAUAAAAAUUAGUCUAGAAUAAGCAAUAAUAUUAUAUUGUUUCUCAUAUGCGCAUAACUAUACCUUCUCAAAUUUUUUUAUUAGGUAAACAUAUGUUAAAUUAAUUGAGCCCAAAUCAAAUGAGAAUUAAUGCUUUAAAUUCUCUAAUUAAUUUACUAAUUUUUAAGAAUAAUUGAGAAUUUGAAAAACUAACUCAAUUAUUAGCAUAGCACUUUGACAAUGGCUAAAUAUUAAAUGCGCACAGGUAAUGCAAAAACUUAACAUAUUAACCAUUAUUAUUUCUAAAGUAUUAUUAUUCAAUUUUAACAGAAAAAAAAAAAAGAAUUAUACCUUUAAGAAGAUAUUAAUAUCCAUAUUUUAUUAUAUCUAUUUAAAAUUAUAUCAUUUCUAAUUAAAAAAAUUUACUUAUAAUUUUAUUAUAAUAUUAGUAUUGGUAUUUUACAAAAAAUUAUUUAUUUUUCAUUAUAUAAUUAUUAUUUUCUAUUUUUAUUAAGACUUGAAUUGAAUUGAAUUGAUAUUAAUAAAAAAUGAGUGUACAUUUUUUUUAUUUUUUUUGUACAAAAUGAAAAUAGAAAAACUAUUUUUAAAAGCAACUAAAAUUUACUUAUCUAAAAGUGUUUUUGUUUUUUUGCUUUUUGACAAAUAUUUUUAAAAACAACUUGCCAAGUAUUAUUAUUUUUAAGACACACCUAAAAAACUUAUUUUUUCUUUUUAACUUGAAAAUAAUUUUAGAAACAAGGUUAAACAUACAUGGGCAAACAGGCCAUUAGACUUUCUAGAUUGCCAACUUGAGGACUUAGAAGAGGCUUUCUUUACUUUUUCAAAGCACCGUACCAUCAAUUAUUCUUUGUUUCCUCAUAUUAGUGAAACGUUUUGGUAUUGGAAAAAGAAAUUUGUAGCUUAACUCCUUCAGAAGUUUACAUAUGCCAACAAAAGAAAAACUUAUCCAAUCCCUCGAUAGUUUUUUCCGAAGCUUUCUCCAUUCAUAAGCAUGGAAUGAGGUGCUUUUCUCCCUUCUUGAGAGCUUCUUAGCAAUCCAUCUGCUACCUUUCCACUACAUCCUUUUCCUUUGUGUGUAGGCCUUCCUACAAUAUUGUACUCCUUAGGCAAAAUUGUUUUAGUUUCUCAAUUACUUGCUCUGACUUCUCCAAUCCCUACGAAUAAAAAAAAGUAAUUUUUGUUCGUUUAAUGAUUUUUUUUUUUGUCUAGUACUAAAUCAAUCCAUCAAAUAAAUGGGUUUAGAUUGUAUUAUUUGGGUUAUAAAGACGUGAUGCAUUAUUUUUUUUAAAACAUUUUAUGAUAUUUUUAGCUAGUAAUAAAUUUCAANNNNNNNNNNNNNNNNNNNNNNNNNNNNNNNNNNNNNNNNNNNNNNNNNNNNNNNNNNNNNNNNNNNNNNNNNNNNNNNNNNNNNNNNNNNNNNNNNNNNUUUUGUUCGUUUAAUGAUUUUUUUUUUGUCUAGUACUAAAUCAAUCCAUCAAAUAAAUGGGUUAAGAUUGUAUUAUUUGGUUAUAAAAGAAGGUGAAUGCAUUAUUUUUUUUAAAAACAAUUUUAUGAAUAUUUUAGCUAAGUAAUAAAUUUCAAAUCAAACAAUACUUAAUGUAUUUGAUUUAUUAAUGAGUUGAGUCACUUUUAAAAAUAAUUUGAAAACAAAAUACUGAAGUAAUUAGUAUCAUAAAUUUAAGAUCAAACAUGUUCUACAUAGAACUAUAAUUUUCAAAAUUUUCUAACUAGACAAGUAGAUUCCGAAUCAAGCAGGACACAAUGUGUUAGAUUUGUUAAAAAGUAUAUUAAUUUUCAAAAAAUAAUUUUAAACUCAAAAAACUGUAAGGAAAUUAUAGAACUAUCUUUAUUUUACUCUAAGUAUUGCUAUUCAAGUCUGUGCCAACACAGGAGUUCGGAUGUUGAUCAAUGAUCUAUAAUUUAUAUGUAGCUCAAAAUAAUUUAUAAUGCAUGAUUUGAUCAAUGAUCUAGCUCAAGAUGUUGCUACAGAAAUAUGCUUCAAUCUAGAGAAUAUACAUAAAACUUCUGAAAUGACUCGUCAUUUGUCAUUCAUAUGUAGCGAGUAUGAUGUAUUCAAAAAAUUUGAAGUCCUUAAUAAAUCGGAGCAAUUACGAACAUUUGUUGCAUUACCCGUCCCUGUAAAUAAUAAGAUGAAAUGUUACUUAAGUACUGAGGUGCUUCAUGGCUUGUUGCCAAAGUUGAUACAAUUAAGGGUGCUCUCUUUGAGUGGUUAUGAAAUAAAUGAGUUGCCAAAUUCGAUUGGUGAUUUGAAACAUUUACGGUAUCUUAAUUUGUCUCAUACUAGACUCAAAUGGUUACCUGAAGCAGUGAGUAGUCUCUACAAUUUACAAUCAUUGAUAUUAUGCAAUUGUAUGGAACUCAUUAAGUUGUCUAUUUGCAUUAUGAAUUUAACCAAUCUUCGACAUCUUGAUAUUAGUGGUUCAACUAUGUUGGAAGAGAUGCCUCCACAAGUUGGAAGCUUGGUAAAUUUGCAAACAUUGUCUAAGUUUUUUCUAAGCAAAGAUAAUGGGUCACGAAUAAAAGAAUUGAAGAACUUGUUGAAUCUCCGAGGAGAGCUUGCCAUUUUAGGGUUGGAAAAUGUUUCGGAUCCAAGAGAUGCAAUGUAUGUCAAUUUGAAGGAGAUACCAAAUAUUGAAGACUUAAUUAUGGUAUGGAGUGAAGAUUCUGGUAAUUCAAGGAAUCAAAGUACUGAGAUAGAGGUCCUUAAGUGGUUGCAACCUCAUCAAAGUUUGAAAAAACUGGAAAUUGCAUUUUAUGGUGGCUCAAAAUUCCCGCAUUGGAUAGGAGAUCCAUCCUUCUCCAAAAUGGUUUGUUUGGAACUUACAAAUUGUAAAAAUUGCACAUCAUUGCCAGCACUUGGGGGUUUACCUUUCCUCAAAGAGUUGGUGAUUAAAGGAAUGAAUCAAGUUAAAAGCAUAGGUGAUGGGUUCUAUGGGGAUACCGCAAACCCUUUUCAGUCUUUGGAAUCUCUAAGAUUUGAGAAUAUGGCAGAAUGGAACAAUUGGUUAAUUCCCAAAUUGGGACAUGAGGAAACUGAAGCAUUGUUUCCUUGCCUCCAUGAGCUUAUGAUAAUAAAAUGUCCAAAACUGAUCAACUUACCUCAUGAGUUACCGUCCCUUGUGGUUUUUUUUGUUAAAGAAUGCCAAGAACUGGAAAUGUCAAUUCCACGACUUCCACUUCUUACUGAAUUAAUAGUAGUUGGGUCGUUAAAAAGUUGGGAUGGUGAUGUCCCCUCACUUACCCAAUUAUACAUUUGGGGAAUUUCGAGGCUGAGUUGUUUAUGGGAAAGGCUUGCACAACGCUUAAUGGUCCUUGAAGAUCUGGGAAUAAAUGAAUGUGAUGAGUUGGCAUGUUUGAGGAAGCCUGGAUUUGGACUGGAAAACCUUGGUGGUCUGCGACGUUUAUGGAAUAAUCAGGGGCUGCCGUGGUCGACAAUAAGUUGUGGAGUUUUGUGCUCAAAACCUCGACUCUCAUGAAUGUGCCCUUAGCUUUUUCCUUAUUUUUCCAAAGGAAGGUCCCUGCCCUCUUCCAAAACAGAGGUACUUAUUAAUGCAUUGAAUUGUAAGUUUUGAUAGAACACAAUUUUCACCAUUUUCGACUAAAAAUAUCGCUUUCAUUUUCUGAUAAUGAUGGAAUUUGUGCUGCACAUUGAUGUAGAUGAAAGCAAAAUUUCUGGCCAUUGGUGCAGCUUAUUUGCAAGGGGAAAUAUCCUAAACAUGAAAGAGUUGUACUAAAUGCACCAUUCUUUUUUCAUUUCAGGGUUUACACUUUCAAUUCCAGUCUCCACUGUCAAUUUUUUUUGGUAAUCAGGUCCAAAAGUAGUUUUAAGGCCCUAUUAAAUUUGGCACCAACUUCAUUUCCUACCAAGGGAUGGUCAGUUUUAGGGCCCAACUUCAUUUCCUACAAUAAGCUAAACAGUUUUGUGCUCAAAAACUCACCUCUCUUGAUUGUGUUCUUAGCUUGUUCCUUAUUUUCUUAAGAAAGGCCUUCCUACCAUAGUUUAAUAACUGGAUAUUUGGCACUUUCAACUCAAAAUAUUGCUUUCAAUUUCCAAUAAUGAUGUCUUGUACAUAUAGGAUGGCAGGAAAAAGGAUUGAUGUAGAUAAAAGGGUAAUUUCCUGCCAUUGAUGCACCUUAUUCAUAUCUGCAAGGGGAAAUGCCCUACACAUGAAAGGAGCUGUAAUAAAUGCACCAUUCUUUUUUAAUCUUGGGGUUUACAUGUGAUUCCAGUUUCAUCUGUACAAUUUUUUGCUAAUCAGGUCCAAAAGAAAUUUUAAGGCCCUAUCAAAUGUGGCACCAACUUCACUUCCUACCAAGGGAUGGGCAGCUUGGCAAACUUGCAGAACCUAACCCACAACAAGAGGCCUUAUAUCUGGUGCUUCAUUUUGCUUAAAGCCAGUAUUCUAUUUCAAUUACCAUUAAUUAAUAGAAGGUAUUUCCGAUUUUGUUUUAGUUCUAUUUCAUUCCAAUCUAAAUUUGCAUCUUAGUAUCUUAAUAAAGCCCUUCUAUCUGAUUUUGUUUUGUACUUUAUUCACACAGGAAUUCUCCCUUACUAAACACCAAGGUUUUCUGGGAUUCUGCCAUCAGCUUGGAAAUAUGUAUUGCAAAACGGGGGAGAGGUAUAACUUCUUUGUUGAUGAGAUUUUUUUUCCCUUUUUUCUGCUUUUCCACUUAAUUUUUUUUUACUAAUUACAUGACAUUGUAAAUGCUGUUGGCCUAGACCCUUACUACUGGCAACUGGUAUGUCAAGCAGUUCAGGAUGCAGAGAAAGGGCAUAUAUCCAGGUUGUUCUCUUUCUUAUUCUCUCUCUUCUCACUUGUAUUGAUUUAAAAUGUGCUCUUUCAAAUUAAGGUCUUUGUAAGUAAGUUGUUGAAGGUAAAAUCCCCUAAUUGGGGCACAUGAUGAUUGUAACCUAGCCAGGUAAGGUGAUAUUUUAUUACUGUCUUUCUAGCUUUUACAUUUGCAUAUUUCUAUAUGGUUGCUUAGGCUUCUGCACCAGAAUUCUUUUGACUUAGUGCUACAUAAUUUUUAUUUUUUUUAUCAUACUGUUUGCUACAAUGGGCAUGCUCUGCCCAUGUGAUACCAGAAGGUGAAGGUUGUGGAUUAGUAAAAGACUUGACCCUGAUGAUUCAUGUUACAAACUGAUGAAGAAGAGAGUCCACUAAUAUCUCUAGUUAGUCUUUGUAAAAUAAUUACUUAGGCCCUCUUGCAUAAUCAGUUUGUAUUUGGAGUCUCAUUUGUAUUUGGAGGCUCACUUCAUGUAGCAUUAAUCUGCCCAAUCUAAUAGGGAUAAAAGGCCCUCUUUCAUAAUCAGUUUAGGGUUGAAUAGAGGGCAAUUAUUGGUUCAAUCAACAUAGGGAAAUGAGAUUGAACCUCAUGCCCUCCACUUCCCACCUUUUCUUUUAUUUUUUAUUUUUUUCUCUUUAUAUUGAACCUCAUGACCCUCUAGAAAUGCCUCUGAGAAUCAUGUCAAGAAAUUGAUGAAUUGUAAAGAAUAUUUGUGAUGGUAGGAAUGUUAAGAUUGUAAAAUUAAAAAAAUAAUCUGAUGAAUUUACUGAAGACGGAUUUGAUAAGGGGUGAAAUAAUUUCUGUAAGGGAAGGAAAUUGCCUAACCUUGAGAGGGAAGAGUGGAUCCUUUCCAUGCUAUGAGGAGUUUGAAAAGAGGGAAGAGUUAAAGAAACUGAAAUGACAACCCUNNNNNNNNNNNNNNNNNNNNNNNNNNNNNNNNNNNNNNNNNNNNNNNNNNNNNNNNNNNNNNNNNNNNNNNNNNNNNNNNNNNNNNNNNNNNNNNNNNNNAAUAUCUCUAGUUAGUCUUUGUAAAAUAAUUACUUAGGCCCUCUUCCAUAAUCAGUUUGUAUUUGGAGUCUCAUUUGUAUUUGGAGGCUCACUUCAUGUAGCAUUAAUCUGCCCAAUCUAAUAGGGAUAAAAGGCCCUCUUUCAUAAUCAGUUUAGGGUUGAAGAGAGGGCAAUUAUUGGUUCAAUCAACAUAGGGAAAUGAGAUUGAACCUCAUGCCCUCCACUUCCCACCUUUUCUUUUAUUUUUUAUUUUUUUUCUCUUUAUAUUGAACCUCAUGACCCUCUAGAAAUGCCUCUCAGAAUCAUGGCAAGAAAUUGGUGAAUUGUAAAGAAUAUUUGUGAUGGUAGGAAUGUUAAGAUUGUAGAAUUAAAAAAAUAAUCUGAUGAAUUUACUGAAGACGGAUUUGAUAAGGGGUGAAAUAAUUUCUGUAAGGGAAGGAAAUUGCCUAACCUUGAGAGGGAAGAGUGGAUCCUUUCCAUGCUAUGAGGAGUUUGAAAAGAGGGAAGAGUUAAAGAAACUGAAAUGACAACCCUUGGAUCCUCUUAAUCUGUAGAAUUUAAGGAGUAUGCAAGGCAAAAGUUAUUGAAUAGCAGGAUGUGUAUUCUUUUGGACUUGAUAACAACGAGAAGAAUUUUAGUGGAGGUAGAAUCAAUUAGGCCUGCCCAUGUGGCAUCUCCAGCAUUGCUUUGACUCUAAAGCUUUUUCAGAUUCUUCCUACUUCUUUUCCAUUCUUUGUCAUGUGUUUGGCUGCACCUGCAUGUUCUUUGUCGAUAUACAUGACAAAUAGUUAUGUUAUUAGUGCUUCAAUUUAUAUAUAUACAUAUAUAAUCAGAAUUUAUUCCUUGAAUAUUAAUCUAUAAAGAAUCCAUAUACCCUUGAUUUUCACUUCUCUUUGCAUUCCGUACUUAUGCAAUCUGUAAUUAUUGUUGCAUUAGGGUUAUUCUUCAGGUGUUGAAGAUGUGGAUGAGGUUCAUACACCAGAUUCUGACUAUAUUAAAUAAGCUAAAUCUUGGCAAGCAUAGGGGGCCACAAGUACAUAGUUUUUCUUUCCAUUAAGAUGGAAUACACAAACACAUAUUUAUGUGUUGGUGUCUGAUUUUAUAAUUUUCCACUCCUUAUGUUAUAUAAUUUAUUUCCAGAUUAGCAUUUCACAAAUGCAUUGAUGAAGUUACAGAGAGCUGGUAUAAUAGGGGAGUUUCUAAGUAUUUUUGUAAAUGAGUUGGUAAAUUCUUGUCUCCUAAUUGUACUUUGUAUUAGUUUACUUUCUGUUUCUUAUCUUCUUUUUUGCUUCACAUUUGGUCAAUGGAGAAUAUCCUAUUGCAGUCCUUUUCCACAUAAAAGAAUUGCGAUGGUGUAAGGCUGAAUGAGUCCUAAGCUUCAACCCUUAUUGCAAGAAGAAUAGAGAAAGGACAUAUUUAUCCAUUGAAAGAUUCAUAUUUUCUCUUAAUAGGGGAAUGAGCAGAGAUCAUGUUUCCCUCCUUAUAUGACAAAUUUUGCUUCUACGCCUUUGCUAAAUUUGAAAAAAAAAUUAUUUUUAUUUUUUUAUAAUAAUUAUAAACUAAUUUCCACAUUAUAUAGUGUGUAGCACGGCUUAAAAGGUUCCAUUCUUGUGAAGUGAAAGAAAUACAAUCACCUUUUGCACUAUUCUUCGUUGAUUUUGGAGUAAUGCAUUAUAUAAAGUUUCAUCAAUGUUUCCAUGAUAUUUUAUGGUAAAUCACAUCCUUAAGACACAAAAAAGUAUGAUUUUAUUAUUAUUACUAUUAUUAUUAUUAUUAUUAUUAUUAUUUAAUUUGUUCUAUUUUUGAUAUGAUAUGAGUUUUUUUCUACUCAUUUUCCCCCUUUUUAUUUGGUAUGGGCAGGUGGUCUUAAUAGGGGUUCAAAGAUGUCUCUUAUUGGCUUUCUAGAAGGUGAGCUACCCACAUUGACCCACCACCAACACUUGCAAGAGUUGUAAUGGGGAGAUGUCAUAUUCUAAAAGAGAGGUGCCUCAAAGACAAAGGAAAAUAUUAGCCUAAGAUUGCUCACAUCCCCUAUAUGGAAAUAGAUGACAUUAUAAAACUACAAGAAGUUCAACCAGGUACUCCCAAUAUAUGGAAAUAGUUGUGCCCUUGAGUACCUGAAAAUUAAAGAUUGUCCAUCUCUUAUUGGCUUUCCGAAAGGGGAGCUACCCGCCACCCUUAAGAAGCUGAUAAUUAUAAAUUGUGAGAAGCUAGAGUCUCUACCUGAGGGAAUUGACAACAACACUUGUCAUCUUGAAUAUCUACAUGUAUGGGGAUGUCCAUCUCUCAAGUCCAUUCCAAGAGGUUACUUUCCCUCAACACUUGAGACCCUUUCCAUUUGGGACUGCCAGCAAUUGGAGUCGAUUCCAGGGAAUAUGCAGCAAAAUCUCACAUCUCUUCAAGUUUUGCAAAUAUGUAAUUGUCGAGAUGUGUUGUCCUCUCCAGAAGCGUUUUUGAACCCUAACCUUGAAGAACUUUGUAUUUCAGAUUGUGAGAAUAUGAGGUGGCCUCUAUCUGGGUGGGGCCUCCACACACUCACCUCUCUUGAUAAGCUCAUGAUUCAAGGCCCAUUCCCAGAUCUGCUUUCUUUUCCCAGCUCUCACCUUCUUCUUCCUACAUCUAUCACAUGUCUCCGGUUGGUAAAUCUCUACAACUUGAAAUCCAUAGCCUCCAUAAGUCUCCGAAGCCUCAUCUCUCUUAAAAUCCUUGAACUCUAGAAUUGCCCUAAGCUCUGGUCCUUUGUGCCCAAGGGUGAGCAACACUUGCAAUACUUGAAAUCUGGGAGUGUCCUAUUCUAGAAAAGAGGUGUCUCAAGGACAAACGGAAAGAUUGGCCCAAGAUUGGCCACAUCCCCUACGUUCAAAUAAAUGACAUUGUACAACAAUAACAGCUUCAAUAAGGUACUCCUAAUUCUCUGUAAUCUUCCAUCAAAGGUUCUACUUGCUAAUUACUACCCUCUCUAUAAUAUUUGAGUCGCCCUUUUGUUAUGUAAUCAGGGGUUCUCCUAAUUUUUCAGAAGUUAGGCCUUCCUACCACAAUUUAAUAUUGAUAUUUGGCAUUGCCCUCUUCCAAAACAAAGGUGCGUAUUAAUGCAUUGAAUUGUAAGUUCUGAUGGAACAUAAUUUUCACCAUUUUCAACCCUAACAUAUUGCUUUCAUUUUCUAAUAAUGAUGGAAUUUAUGUUGCACAGAAUUUCCUGCCAUUCAUAUCUGCAAGGGUAAAUACUAAAUAUCCUACACAUGAAAGAAGAUGUACUAAAUGCCCCAUUCUUUUCUAGUUUCUGGAUUUACAUGUGAUUCAAGUUUUAAGGCCCUAUCAAAUUUGGGCAACAACUUCACUUCCCACCAAGGGAUGGGCAAAAGGCCUUAUGUUUGGUGGUUCUUUUUGUUUAAAGCUCAGUAUAUUGAUUCAAUCACCAUUAAUUGUUAAAAGGUAUUUAAGAUUUUGUUUUAGUUCUGUUUCAUUCCAGUCUAAAUUUGAAUCUUAUUAUGUUAAUGAAGCCCUUUUAUUUAAUUUUUUUUUCUGUACUUUAAUCACACAGGAAUGCUCCUUUAUUUAACACCUUGGUUUUUUGGGAUUCUGCCAUCUUUUUGCAAAUAUGUAUUGCAAAAACGGGAGAGGUAUAACUUUCUCGAACUUCUAAACUGACCAUUGUAUUUCAUCAGAUUGUUUUUAACUUUCUCAUAUUUUUCCCCUCAAAUUUACAUCUUUUUGACUAAUUACAUGAUAUUGUAGUUACUGUUGACCUAGAGAGGACCUUUCUACUAGCAUCUGGUAUGUCAAGCUGUUCAGGAUGCACAGAAAGGACAUAUAUCCCAGGUUGUUCUUUUUGUCAUUAUGUCUCUCCUCACUUGUAUUAAUUUCAAAUGUGCUCAUUCAAAUUUAUAUUAUCAUAAUAUAAAUUGAAGAUAAAAUCCCUUAAUGAGAGGUGGUAGUUAGGUCUUUGUAAGUAAGUUGUUGAAGGUAAACCUUGGUGAUGAGCUGGCAUGUUUGAGGAAGCCUGGAUUUGGGUUGGAAAACCUUGGUGGUUUAUGGAUGGAUGGGUGUGAUGGGAUUGUAUCCUUGGACGAGCAAAGGCUGCCUUGCAAUCUUCAAUAUUUGGAAGUGAAAGGAUGUUUCAACUUAGAGAAGCUGCCAAAUGCACUAUGCACCCUCACAUCUCUUAUAGAUUUGGUAAUUCAUAAUUGCCAGAACUUGUGCCAUUCCUAGAGACAAAUAUGUUGCCCAUGCUAAGACUUCUUUUGGUGAAAAAUUGUGAGCUUUUGGAGACGUUGGCCGAUGGAAUGGUGAGCACCAGAUGUGCCUUUGAGUGCUUAGAAAUUGUAGAUUGUCCAUCUCUUAUUAGAUUACCAAAAGGUAAGCUAUCGACCACCCUUAAGAAGCUACUCAUUAUAGAUUGCCAAAAACUAGAGUCUCUACCUGAGGGAAUUAUGCACCACACUUCAAUUGACAGCAACAACACUUGUCGUCUUGAACAACUACAUGUAUUGGGAUGUUUGUCUCUCAAGUGCAUUCCAAGAGGCAACUUUCCUUCCUUUCUUGAGAUGCUUUUCAUUUGGAAUUGCAAGAAAUUAGAGCCAAUUCCAGGCAAUAUGCUGCAAAAUCUCACAGCUCUUGGUAUGUUGGGUCUAUGUAAUUGUCCAGAUGUGAGGUUGUCUCCAAAAGAAUUUUGGACCACCAACCUUAAAUAACUUGCGAUUUCAGAUUGUGAGAAUAUGAAGAAGCCUCUAUCCUUUGUGCCAAAGGAAGGGCUGCCACCAUCACUUGCAAGACUUGUAAUCAUGGGUGUCCUAUUCUAGAACAAAUGAAAAGAUUGGCCCAAUAUUGCCUACACCCCCUAGAUGGAAAUAGAUGGCAUUGUCUAACAAUAACAAUUUCAAUCAGGUACCCACAAUUCUCUGUAAUCUUCCACCAAAUAUUCUACUUGCUAAUAACUUUCUUUCUCUAAAACGUUCUAUUCUUCAUGUUGUUCCGUAUCUCAGUUCCACUUGUUAAUUCAAAUGAUUUUAUUAUUUCUUAAAGAAGCUUAAAAUUCACACAGAAAAAGCACCGUACUUUAUGUUUUCUUUAUUUAUUUUCCUUUCCCCUUUUUAAUCUUAAUCAUUAACAGUUCUUUUAAAAUAUUUGUCGUCAGAUACUUGUUACAGAGGGGGUUGUGCUUAGCCAGUGUGUGACUCUGGAAACCCCACGUAAAAUGUAUGGCAACAACUGAGUCCUAUCAAUACUUGCAACAUUACAUAAUCAAGAGAGAUGUCCUAUUCUGAAAAGGAGGUCCAUGAAGAACAAAGGAAUAGGAUGGCCCUAAACUGCUCAUAUCCUCCCAUAUCUGGAGAUAGAUUGCAUUGUACAGCAGUAAAAAGGUCAAUCAAGUACCCCAAUUAAUGAUAGUCGCUCUUUUCUCUUGUUGCUCACAUCCAUCCUUCUAUCUGAUUGGAAAUUUAGUUCUCUAAUUCAUCAGUUAUGUGCAACAAUUUAUAUUUGCAUUAAAAAAAUUUCUGAAUAUAUAUUCAAAAUGAAAUGCUCUUGAUCUUAUUUUUUUGCCUUUUACAUUGAAAACAUAUAACUCUUUUUCAUUAUUAUGCUAACAGAAAGGAAUAUUGAGUUUCAUCCUGCAGAUUCCAUGUCUGAAGUGAAUAUGGUGUUGGUUGUUCAUUCUCUAAUAUGGUGAUGGUGAAAAGAAGAUGAAAGGGCCUAGGAAAAGCAUGGUACAUAUGCUAUUUUCAUUUUUUAUCUUAUAUUUCCUAUUUUAAUUUUAAAAUAAAAUGGCUACUGGGCCAUGCCUUUUUAAUCAUAUCAACAUGGAAAAGCAGUCAAAAAGAGUUGGAAAAACAACCUGCUUAUGAUUACAUUCGUUGGUCUACCUAUAGAUCUUGGGUUGGAUAUGGUGCAGAGGAAGAUUUUUACAAACAAACCUAUUUAAGGUAUUUGGGACUAUCCUCUUCCAAACACAGGUGAUUAUUAGUCUAUUGAAUUGUAAGUCUGAUAUAAAAAACAAUCUCCAUUUCUAACUCAAAAUAUUGCUUUUGCUUCUUGAUAAUGAUGGAAUUUACUUUUUAGAUGCAGGAUGGCAAUCAAAGGGACUGAUGUAGAUGAAAGCAAAAUUCAUGGCCAUUGAUGCAGCUUAUUAGCAUCUGCAAAGGUAAAUAUCCUAAACAUGAAAGAGCAGUACUAAAUGCAUCAUUCUAGGCCAUGUAAAUUUAAAAAAAAAAAUUCAAUCAGGUCCAAAAAGAGUUUUAAGCCCAAUCGAAUUUGCCACCAGCUUCACAUGGCAAUAAUUUCACAUAGAGAUACAUGGUUGAUACACCUAUUAAAAGUCUUGUUGCAUUUUUUCUUUCUUUCUUUUUUCCGUUUUCAAUAUGCUUCAAUUUCAUGAUGCAAGGGGCCUUACAUCUGGUGG